GGAUAGUUACUGACAGAUGUAUUCGGAUCAUCGAUCAAUCAAGAAAUACAUGCGUCAAACUAAUCACUGAAGUUCUUUAACUAGAAAUAAUAGAUCAAAGAAAGAUAAAUCCACAUAAGUAAUAAUGAAAUAUUACAUGAACAGAACAAAUCCAAAACAAAGACUGAAAAGAAAUCAAUCAACAUAAUAAACGAAUCUUGUUUGCACAAAUCUUAUAUAGAAGACUGAACGGGAACAUGUAGAGGUAACAUAUGUAGCAUAGCAUGACAUACUCUUGCACAAGUACGUAGAUCCUAGCUGGAAAAAAGACGGAGUAUUUCGGACCAAGACGCUUGAUUCCCCAAAGCCAUGGCGCAGCAGUGUACAAAAGAAGCUGAAGAGGAGCUAGUCUGCUGGAAGAAGACGACUGAAGGAGAGGAGAACUGCACCGAUCUGAUGAUGGCUUCUUGACUCACAUGAGAGUAGUAGUACCAGAGCAGAUCAACCACGCCAUCAUCAUGCUCCGUGCAUCUCCCUCUCGCUUUCUGUCACGCCUCCCCAUCUCUCCCCCCUCCGCCGCCGGCCCCCUCGCACACGCCGCCCCUUCUCUCUCCGCUCCCGCUUUUCUCAUCGGCUAUAGCUUCUCCGGCCUCUUCCGCUUGGAAGUAGGUGGAGGCGACUCUUGAGGUGCGGUGUGGCAAUCAUGGCGGCCGAGGGCCCGAGGGGCUCGGGGGCAGCAUGAUUGCAUCUUGGAAGUAGCAGGGGGAGGAGAGGCUGCAGAGGCUCCUCGCAUCACAUGGUGUGGCAUGAUGGAGGCACACAUCUCAGCUCCGCUAGUAGCCGCACACACAUCUCCCUUGGUUUAUUGGGCUCCUCGAUUGGCCUCGCUGAUCUUCUUUCUAGGGGUCUCUUCCCCCUUCCUCCUAUAAUGUGAUGGUGACGGCAGUGGAUUGUGAUGGAGUUUGGCCAAUCUCCAAGGCUAGCUAGGGCAUUUCUAUGGCCAGCCUUUGGCCUUCCCUUGGAGCCAGUAAAAAAAAUGCAGAACAGCAGUGAUAAACCUAUCAAGUAUUGGUAACUCUUACAGAUGAUGUUUAUUUUAUUACCAUCUGUAAAAGCUAAAAAAUGGGAUAUAUUAUUAGCCAUAUAUGCAUGCUACAAAUUAUAAAGGUAAUAAUUUCUACAACUCUAGUUCUCCAUGCUAAUGAAACAAAGGGCAUAUGACGUAAUUCAAAAUUUGGGUAGUGAAAAAUCAUAUUUUUACUUGUAUUUUUGAUAGUGCAAAUAUAAUUUAUGAACAGUACAGAUCGUACAUAUAGUCUUUAUUGAGUGUGUGAAAAAUCCAUAUCAUCUUCCAGGGGAACAUUAAAUGAGGCCUGAAUGCCUGAUGUCUUAAUCCUUGUAGUCUUGUAGAUAUAUGACAUAAAUUUGUUAUCUUGAUUAAAGUCAACGUGAGAGAUGUGUAGUCUGAACUUAUUUUAAAAUGUUAUAGUACUUGCAUUAUCUACAAAAUAGGAAUGUGUUUUACACUAAAAAUCUGGUUUCGUCUUUUAUCAAGUACUAAAAUAUAUUGGAUUGGUGUAGCCCUAAGAUCCUCAAUAUGUUUCAAUUUGCCGAGGUAAAUGAAUUACUGACCACAAGAGCUUGAAGCGACGAGAUCAAGCUAAAAAAUAAUGGCAUGACUAUUUUUUUAAAAAAGUACAAAAGUCAAAAAGGAAAAAAGAAACGGCAAAGUUAACAGGUUGCUUUUUGUUUGAGAAUAAACUACACUGGUGGUGCAAGGGGAGCAAAGAAAGAAGGGGGUAGGUGGGGUUUCUGUGUUUGGUUGGUGGUUGGUUCUCAAUGCAAAGAUGUGUUCCCUGGCCUCCGGCUUCUCUACCAUGCAUGAAUUCGGUGGUGCGAUAUGCAUGCAUCUACUAGACUAAUUUCUGUAAGUCAUAUGUUAAUCAGUCAACGUUGCAUACAGUGUAUAUAUAGACAUGUUUCUUCAGUCCAUUAUCACUCCACAUCAGCAUGAGUCUUCCCCAACGACAUGCAUGAUCCUCUUUACAGAAAACCAUUUUUUGGAGUAGAAAACCAUUAGAUUCUAUUACAUUGGAAAUUAAAACUUAUACAUAUGUUGCCACCAAAAUUUGGUAUUUUUAUGGCCGAUGGAGUAAUAUGGAAAGAAGCCGAUAAGAAAGUUUUAUUAGCAAGGACUGUAUGAAAAAAGAAAAAUUAGAGUCCGUGCAUCUUAAUGAUUCCUUAUGAUUCCUUUUCUUAAUGAUUCCUUAUGAUUCCUUUUAGAUAUUUCUUGUUAGGCAAGUUUUGUAUCAGCACAGGGUAUAAAUAUAAGCCUCGGCUAUUGUGAAAGUUAUCUCUCGAUCAAUACAACACAACUUUCAGUACAUCGCCACCCUCUUUUCCGAGAUUUUCGUCACCAGCGGAAGUUGGCACAUGACGCGGGGCGGCAUCGCUUUGAUCUUCGGCGAAGGGGUAAGUCCUAAGUUCCCCUGGCCCUGGCAAUUGUAUCGGCUACAUUGGUGCUGUUCAAGGCUGCAUCGUUUCGAUCUUUUGGAUUGCUCUCGUUCAGUUGGUAUAAUUGCCUACCAGUUAUUGAUUCCUAUCAAGUUUUGUAAGGUUGCAUCGUUCAAUCUUUUGCUAGAUCUAAUAGAAUCAUGGUUAUCUUAGCCUUGUUUAGAUCUAUGGGCUUAUAUCUUUUAAAUCUAUUGCUUAGCUGCUAGCAGAAUAUUGAUUUCUUUAUUGAAAGCAUCAGAUUAGUUCUCAUCAGCCGAUAGAUUCUUAUCUUGAUCUUAUUUGAGCGUUUACUGCACGUGUAUCUUGUUGCAGCUAGAUCCAUUGACUUGUAGCCUUUAGUUUAUCGUCCUGCUGCUAACGCUGUCUCAGUUAGGUCCAAUCUGAUUGAUGGUGAUAGUAGAUUAAUUGCUAUAAUAUAGAUGUUUAGUAAUCGCUUCAAUCUCAUCGGACUGCUAGCCGAUGGUUUUUAUCGAGGAACUAGUCGAUAAGUUAUCUUUACAUCGAAUUCACAGAGAAGAUAUGUUAUAAUCGUCGAGCCUGGAUUUAAUGUUCUAUCAAUAUCGGCCGAUUGGUUCGUAUCAUUAUUUAUCUGUCAGGACAUGUAACCGAUUGUUUAAGAUCCUAUCAACAUCGGCUGAUAUCGGCCCAUUGGCCGAUCGACUCUCUGGCCAUCUGAUUAUCUAUCUUAUUAGUUGCAGGAUCAAACUGACUGGCACAUCCGAAUCUCAAGAAGAGCUAAGCAAAUCUCCCAGAUCAGAGUGUUGCGCGCGAGGAUCGUUAUCGGCCGAGCGAUUUUUGGCGCCAACAACGUGUUAUUCUUCAUAAGCUUGCAGAAACUAUGACCUCAGUGGCAGUGCUUCAAAGAAAGAAGAAAAGAAAACCUCUUUCCAAGCAAGAUACAGCUGCAUGCAUCGUUGGUUUCUACGGUGAAAUGCACCUCUCUUGUAAGCACGCCGAACACACGUCACAUGUGACAUGGCCGGCUAGCUAGCUGUGAUGAAUGCGCCUCUUCCAGAGAUUACAGGCCGGGAAGGGAAGGUACUGCCAGCGCUGUAUGUUGUGCAUGGAUGCUACCGCCUUUUUUUGGUGAUGGGGGAAUCAUGGGGAAGGUAUGCACUGUGCACUGACUGGAAUGUCAUGGUCCGGGCACCGAUCUCCCCAAGAUCUUCGAGCUAUGAGUACUACUGUCCCUUCAAAAGAUUUGGAACCUUGAACUGCUAUGAUCAACACCAGCUACCCUAGGCUACACAGCCGCGGGAGUGAAUGCAUCGGCGCUGUGCAGAAUUUGCUUUUCCGAAAGCCGGUGAAAAGCAGACUCUGCUCCCACUUCGUUCUUGGUUUCUGUUUGUUGGUAACCAAUUCUACCAUUUGGGCUCUGUUUAGUUUCCACCCGUAAACGCAAAAAAUCCGUAAACGCAAAAUUUUUAAAGAAAUUUUGCUAAUUUGAAGUACUAAAUGAAGUCUAUUUACAAAACUUUUUGUAUGGAUGGGCUGUAAAUCGCAAGACGAAUCUAAUAAGCCUACAUAAUCCACGAUUUGCAACAGUGAUACUACAGUAACCAUCCGCUAAUUAUUGCUUAAUUAUGGAUUAAUUAGCAUCAUUAGAUUCGUCUCGCGAUUUACAACCCAUCCAUGCAAAAAGUUUUAUAAAUAGACUUUAUUUAGUACUUCAAAUUGGUAAAAUUCCUUUGCAAAAAAUUUUUUUGCGUUUACGCCUGCCGAACUAAACACAGCCUUUGGUGUAGCUUUUGGUUAAUCUGUGAAAAAAGCUGAGAAAUAAGCUGCGCCAAGCUGAACUGUAGGAUGUUCAUCAACAAGGUUAUUGCACUACAGCUUUUUUUUUCCAGCGCAGGAAUUUCACCCAAAAAAAUGCAAGUACUGGCUUUUUACCGGAAUAAACUCAUAAAACUUGCCACCACAGAGAUCAUUUUACCAAAAGAAACAAAUGGCGUAUGAUUGGUCCGAGUCCCUUCUCUUCUCCGAUCCGGAGCAAGUGGAGACGCUCAGCGCACUGAUUCGAUCGGUCCCUGCUGCGGCGCUGCAAAUCCAUGCAUGGAGCCAGCAGCCCAGCAGUGUCCCCUGAAGCGAAGGCAGGCGAUGCGCAGGAGCUCAUGGCCCGGUCACCUGUGAUUCCGGGGAUGUCCCCGGCCGAGAGCAUUCAUUUUCAUGUGCCCGGCUGAUGACGGAUUGUCUCGUGCUGGCUGUUACAAUGCCCCAUGUGUCGAGCGGCAUGAUAAGCUGGCAAGGGGGAGAGGAGAUCGCGAGGAAUAACUGGUGGGGCACACGGGCAUCCGAUGCGGCUGCUGGUAGGAGCUCAUGAAAAAACUGAACUCGUUUGCACCAUCUAGGAAUCUCGGCCACAGAAACUAUGAAAAAAUGGUCGUCAUCUAGCAUGAAGGAAGAAGUGUUUCGGUAGAUUGACCCGUGUAGUUCCUCCUGGAUGCAUGUCACGCAGAGCAUCUUGUUUCCGGACACGGUAGAGAAAGACCAUCACGCAUUUUGUUUGAUCAUGAACGCAUGAUGUGCCGAGCACCAUGGUACCCCGCCUAGGGUCUGCUGGGAGCCCGGCCUCGCUCUCGCCGAUCGGCCACAUCAUGCAGCUGGGGUUGCGACUAGUGGAUUGAGAUUGAUUCCCUUCAACCCAACUGAACCUAGGGUGCAGUCUUUUUAGAAGUUUUACCUUCUUUUCGUGCGUCUCCCCGGUCUGCCGCCCGGCCGUCUGCAUGUCCCAGGCAGGCAAAAGCGAUCUCGAUCCAUGUACAGCAACUUGCUUUCGCACCAGGCCGAGAGACAAAAGGCGUCCCUUUGUCCUCUUGCAGGGGCAAAGCGUCAGGUUGGGGGAGAAAAGGAGCCUAAAGCCGUGCCCAUGGCCUUUCUUCUUCUUUUCAGGGCAGCAAGAUACGGUUUUAUACUGCACGCACCGCACCAGAACAGCCGCAUCUAGCACGUACGUACUUGAAUAUUCACGACUCCGAUUCUUUCUUGCGUACGAGAGGUAGUAGUAGUACUAAAAUACUGAGAGCAAGAGCCCAGUUCAGGGUAGCUGUGCAAGCCUGCAACGAAGUGCGAGCUCGACCCCAGACAGCGGCAGCUUGCGAGAACAAACCUCUCGUUAGUCUCGUAACACCACAUGACGAGGCGCAGGAUUUUCAGCGCAUGGUGUGGCAAAUUUUGUCACUUGGGUCUACAACGGCAGACGACGGAGAGGUUGGACACAAUUCUGUAGCCAGGAGGAGAGCUGGUAGUAACAGCUUAGCCAUGGUGUCGGCAGUGCCGAAACAAAUCGACAGGUCAUGUAGCACCACUGCUCUUGACCGCCCGCGGUCUGCAACCUGCAAGCCCAGCAGACGGCACUACAGGGCUGUUUGGAGUGCCGCCUAACCCGCCACGGCGCGCCACACUUUUUCCGCCGCAGGUGUGGCGGCCGUUUUGAGCGCCACAAAUUAGGCAGGCCGUGGCGGGUUAGGUGGGACUCCAAACAGCCCCUACAUUUUGCCGGAUGUUAGCCGCUGACGAGUUUCUGAGGCGCCUAGGUAUACAGCAAGAUUGGAGUAAGAUCUACAGUACUUGGCAGAAGAUACGAUAGUACAGCUAGACAUGCCCAUGUCUGCGUUCUUAUCUGCACAACGCACAAAAUCCUGGAAUGGAUGAUUGCAUCAAGGGCCCCAAAAAAAACGAGAAAAAAGGGGAAAGAUGCGCAGUCGCCAACAACUGCGACGGCAACAAACAAAUGCAUCGACACUUCGACAGCAUGAGCACAACUACGUCAGUGAGCAGGGUUCCACACCUUUGCUCUUAUGCAGCUUCAGUUCUCAUUGCAUUUAUGUCCUCUAUACGAGUAUGAUCCAUUUAUCCACGAGCAAUGAUUGCACGAUCCUUUUUCAAAACAUGAUCUGUGGCGAGGUUACUCUGGCGUCCAGCUAUCCUGACUCUCGCCAGGGAGCAAUCCACACUCUAACCGGAUCGCCUCCAGGAGCUGAGGCGAUAUCACCUCCUUUUCUUCAUCUGUACCAUUUUCCUUUGAGCUUUUCUGGGCCACUUCUGCUCCCCAACCUCUGUACAAAAUCACUUUGUUUGUUUCUUGCGACACUAGAACCGAUCCUGUCGCCUCCUGUUUACAUUGUACGCCAAAGAAGAUCAGAUGAAUUCGGGUACACAGGAUCUAAUUAUUCUCUAUUACAAGUUACAAACCUCCAGUUCUGUUAUCAGCUGCUGGAUUGGAGUCCCAUCCGCUCUGUUCUUUAUGUUCACAAUAGCAAGAGGAUGCUUCUUGAAGUGUGUUUUUAUUGUUUUCGCAACUCCCGUGAUGACAUUAUUCCUCCCUAAGACAUAAAUCAGAUGCUUAGCGAAGCAUCUUAAAGUUAAUGCAGGUAAAAACUCGGAUAAGACCAAGAAAGAUACCUAUGGAAAGUACUGGCCGUUUCUUCAUUUUAAGCGCUUGCUUCCUCAGCACAAGCCUUUCUUUAUUUGAGAGUGGUGUUGCUCUCAGAGGCAAGAGAGGAUCAGAUUUCACAUCAAAUUUUGGUGCAUCCACAUCUUUUGAAUCGCCUUCACUAUGACUAUCUGGAUCAAACGUAACAGUAGAGCUGUGCUCGUUUUGCUGCAACAUCAGUUCAUCGAUAUCAGCAUGGAGCAAAGACAUAUGGUGGGAAAGCAGACAAACUCACAUGUCUGUUCAGAUCAUUGAAUGAAACUGCACUAGAUCUCCUGGUCAGGCAUGGACUUGCAGUCAAUGAAGAGUCAUCUUCAAGUUUGGUGAGACAGACUUUGCUCUGUAAUAGUGUGCAGUAGCCACAUUAGCUAUUGUAAAGGACCAAACUACAACGUACAGAUUUCAUAUGGGAGAACUAUUGACCUGCAUAUCAUCGUCAUCCAAAGGAACUCCAGACUUUGUUAAAUUUAAGGUUCUAUCCAUCACAACUGAAGCGCACUCUUCAACCUCUGGCUCUGAACUCUUGGGAGCAUCUUCAGGCACUUCCUUGACCAUUUAUAUGGAAAUAAACAAAUAAUCAGGCAUUUAUAGAAUAUACUGAAUGGCAAUUGAACUGCAUUCAAGUUCGAAUAUGUUAUACUUCGUUUUUCUGUUGUAAUGUUCCGGAAUUGACACUAGGACCAUGAAUGGUCGUUUUAUAGUAGCUGGAAUUCAUCUGGUCCCUCAAGUAGUCAAUAUUCUUUGACAGAUUAAGCACAUGAACCUUCAGGGACUGAAAUGAACGAGAGAAAUGAUUCAGAAUAUCAAGGAUAUUAGCACAAGAGACUCAUAACAAUACAACAGAUAUAAGACGCACCUUACAACGCUGGUUUUCCAUAGAACGCUUCAAAGCAUCCUUUUUACUCAACAAAGUUUUUGGCCUGAGAGUUGAUGGCCUCUGGUAAUUCUUUCCUCUAUAUACUAUAAUAGCAUGUCCUUUGCUCACUUUUUCCACUGCCACCAAAAUACCACCACUCUCUGCCACUAGAGUUCGAGCAGCAUAUUCAACAUCUUUAAGGCUGUGUUCUUUACAGAUAAUCUUGACAAGUUCUCGAUACUUCCAAUGAAGAUGCAUAUUUUCAAUAGUUCCAUCAAAAACUCCUCUCCUCCCUGCAAACCAAUUAAACAAGGUGAUUGAAAGACCCAAAAAAUGCAAGUGGGAAGACAAUUCUGUGGAGAAACUACAAGAUUUUUCCAUUGCCCUAGAUACACAAUAUAAACUUUCCCUAAAGAUAAUCUCUGUAUUACAUGUGCAGACUUUAUAUUAACUAUCUGGAACAAGGAAGUAAGAUAUGUUCCUAAACCAGUUGUGCAUCUUGUUAGGUGCCCUGACAGGGAUAAUGCUAUUAUCCUUACAAUAGGUUGUGUCCCACCUCCCUCUGGCUCUGUUUGGACGGGGGGAGUUAAUUGCUAUUGCUGGUAAAGUGGUAACAGACACAUUGUGAUGUAUAGGAUUGUACGAAACUAGAAGUUUCCCAGGUGAUUCACAAGAGACGAAAGAAUAGUUCCAAAUUUUUGCGCUUCAAGCAACAGAAAACCACAUAGGACCCACCCUGUCAAUAUCAGAACUGAGAAAUGAUCAGAACAGAUUGGAAUAUUGUUUAGUAUCCACAAACUCAUUACAGUUCUAGAUAUAAAGAUUUAAUAUCAGCCUUUCAACCAGAUAAUCUAGUUAAAGCAAAGAAAUGGGUAAUCUUUUUGUUUGGUAUGUAGAGACUGGAACAAGUUUCCAUUUUCUAAAACAAUGACUGUGAUCAGAACAGAAGUGUGCAGUACAGUGCAAUGUUUGAGGAAAAUACCCACCUAGCAGCAGAAAUUGUUUCAUCUUCAAUCCAACUUUCCUCAACAUGUACCUCUCCUCUUCCGAGAUAUCCUCUCUAGUUUCAGCUUUUGAAGGCUGAGAUGCAUUUUCUAGUUCUUCAAGAAGUCUUUCAGCCCUCUCUUUCUCUGCUAUGGCCUGAAAAUAUUUGUAUAUAUGUUUACUCAGACAGCAGACAUAAAAGGAAAACAAAUAUGAUAGCUGAAAGCAUACCUGAGAUAAUCUGGUCUCCACACUCUGGGCCACAGUAUUAAGAGAUUCUGACCUACUCUCUGGAACAGACAUUUCCUCCUCAUGAAUGUGUACAGGGACAUCACUUGAUACCUUCAGUACAGAAGCAUCUUGAGCAGGCGUGCUUUCUUCAGUGUCAGGCUUGGGCUUGUAGAUUGUAGAACCGCCCAACUUUCUGCGCUUUUCUAUUGCCAGAGAGAUAGCUGGGGGGAGGAAAUCUUUCCCUCUGUAGAAUACAAUCGACUCCUUAUCCCUUGAUAAUAGGGUUCCACCUGUCAAUCCCUGGAACAUUUAUACAAAAGGUGGAAUUUACCAUUCAAAUUUUGGGAAUGGAUAAUGUAAGUACACUGAAAAAAUAAUGAAAGCUGGAAGUUUCACGUAAAUUAGGAUAACACCAGAGACUAGCAUAUAUCUUUCUGAUUUCUGAUCAUAUAUGGAGGUGAUGAACAAAUGCACAAAAAGCAAAGUAAGAAGCAUAUGCAACACUCUACAUCCCCAUAUCUGAUGAUAUGUGACCCAAGUCAAACUCUAUGCCAGUUUUGCCAGAACAUUGCAGGAGCACACAAAAAAUGUACUGUAUGACUGGGCAUUGGGCAAUGACUCGAUUAGUACCUACCUACCUUUAAUUCUUCAGUGAUGAGUUCACUAUCAGUGUUGUUUGCAUCUCUCUUGAUUGCAAUCUUUGCUACCUCGCAUCUUUCCCAUAGCUUGAUCAUGGAUGCAGCCAAUCCUUGAAGGUUACUGCUUCUUCCUGGAAAGUGGACACAAGAAAACUAAUACCAGCAAUCCUUAUCAAUAUUGUCAAAGACAAGAGGAAAAAGCAAAGUACCAAACAUUACCAAGUGCAUAGUGGAAGGGCAAGGGAUGAGCUAGUCUCCUAAGGAUAGUCAUUUCCCUGUCUGUUAGCUUAGGUGGCACACCAGAAGGAAGAAGGCGAAAAGGCCUACGGUAUCCUGGCACAAUAGCUGGUAAUAAAUCAGCAUCCACUGGAAGGGGAUCAUACCCCCACCAACCAGAAAACCUUGGCCCCAACCCAUCCAGUAAUUUAUCAGCUUCCUCUGCAAGUUUGACCUCCCCAGGCAACUGUAAUCGAAACUUAUUUUGAGAACCAACACCAGCCACUAAGGAUGACCGAUCUCCAGGACCAACGUUACCACCAUGAUCAGCAUGAGUAUUUACGUGCAAUCUUGCGUGCUGUUGAUUUGGAGCUCCAGUUCUAGUGUCCAAAUUUCCCUCAUGUGUACCAAAAACAAGCCGUUUGGUAGAUAAUAUUGGACGAGUUGUAUAUUUCUCUCUGCUUAAGCUCUGGCUCAAAUCUCCUAUGGUAUGGUUCUUUCCCUCUCCUGCACUCCUCUGUUCUGCACAUGCUAUAACAGGAUUCUCACUACUUUCAUAACUGCUAUCAUGUUGAAAAGUAUUCUCAUCCUCCUCCCCACUGCUACUCAGCGCCACUGAUCCUAUACCAAGAUGUUCAUCCUCAUCCUCAGAGCUGCUCUGCUCUGAUGAUUCUUUGUCAAGAAGACCAUCCAUCCUUUCUCUGUGAUGGAAGUAAGGAUACUUAUAGUCGGUUCCUCUAUAUAAUAUGAUUAUACUCCCAGAUCUCCAAAUGACUAAGCCUCCAGUUUUCCUCUAUCACCAAAAGGAAACAGAGCAUGUUGAACUGUCAAAUGCAAGCCAAGAUAGUUGGUUCUAACUAUGCACUAUUUCUCUCCUAUGUUUCAUUUGUCCAAUUGAACUUGAAAUGAAAUCUACUUCAACGAUGCUAUAGUUUUCUGAAUGCUAAUACACUAGUACAUCCUUAUCAUAUAACUUGAAAGUCAUCAACAGUAUUUUAACCAGAUAUUCUGCUCAUUUCUUCUUACUGACAGCUUCACACCAAGAUUUUGUGAUCAUAUACUGAAAACUCAAUUAUCCUAUCAACUCGGGAAAAGAAACUUACAGUGGCGUUUAACAUAACCAAGCACCAUAAUAUCAAGCAACACCCUAUUUUACUAAGCGUGUUACCCCAGGAAGAUAAUGACAUGAUUCCGGAUGCCAAUUUUGUAGUUGGACAUGCACAGCCAGAAGAACAAACAUUACAGGGAGCACUCACCUCGAGCAUCUCGUGCGUGCGCCUCAUGUUCAUAGCCCAGACGUCCUCGAACCUGAUCUUAACGACCUCCGUGUUCCGCCAGCGCUCGUGUAUCCCGUUCACUAUCCCCUCCGUGAUGCCCGCCUUCCCGACUUUGAGCCUCUUCCUCACCUUGAUCCCGAUCCCCUGCAGCCGCCGCAGCUCGUUCCGCGGCAGCGCCAGCUCCGCCGCGGACGGCGGCGCCGAAGCAGCAUCCCUCCCGCGCCCCCUCCGCUGCCGCCGCGCAGCGGAGCCGGCCUCGCCAUCGGCAGUGGCCCAGCUCGGGUCUAGGGUGGAGCCGACGCGGUGGCGCGGGAGCUGUGCCGGGGUGGGCACGAAGAUCUCGCCGGCGGAGGGGGCGUCCCCGCUCGUGUCCGGGGCCGGAGCGGGGAUCUCGGAGCCGGUCUCGAGGUAGCCGAGGCUGCGGAGCUUGUCGGAGAUGCGGCGGAGCGCCGACUUGCCGAGGAGCUCCGGCGAGGGGGACGCGGAGGCGGAGGCGUGGACAGGACUGAGGCGGGCGCGGGGUUUGGAGGCGGAAGUGGCGGGGAGGGAGAGGAGAAGAGGGGAAGGGUGCGGGGAGAAUGUGAGGAGCAUUUGUUUGCGUGGGAAUGGUGGGUUGGGACUUGGGAAUGGAGGGAGAAGACGGGUUUAACUGCCCGUGGCCCGUGGCGGGCUCGAGGGAGGAUAAGGCGUCGAGAGGAGGGAGGAGACGGAGCAAGGGGAUGACCGGUGCCUCGAGAUACGUGUUGUCGAAUGACGCGUAUAAAUCCUCGUGUUGCAUGAUCAAGAGUUCAUGUUAUCGUGUGCCACUCCAUACCCGAUUCAAAAAGAAAAAAGAAAGAGUUCGCCUGCGUACAGCUUCAAAGAAAAGUUCUAGGGCGCAUAGAAAAGAGUUGGCGUGUUUGAGGUCAUGCCGUGGGGUUCUAGAUGCCAGUUACAAAGAUAUUUUACUCUAAUUUAUCCUAGGUUAAACUAAUCUAGCUUUGAUCAAAUUGCUAGAAAAAUAUAAUAAUAUCUACUCAAGAUUAAAGUUGUCCGGUGCCUCGAGAUACUAAAAAAUGUCAAGACAUAUUUUAUGAUGACCUGAUACAACUAAUUGGAUACGGUGGAUGUUGAUUUUUUCUAUAAAUUUGAUUAAAGUUAAAAAAAAAUUGAUUUAGGAUAAAUUAAAAUAAGUUAUAAUUUAAAUAGAUAUAAUAUUGCCUUAACAUCUUGUUAGCCUAGCUAAACGAUGCAUCGGUAAUGGCGUUAACCUGAGCUCCUGUGACAAAAGAGAUAUAUGAAAUAAGUCUCUAGAUAAUUUAUGUUUUUCAAUGUUUUCUAAUAUUAAUUAUGCUCUUUGAGAUUUUGCUAAAACCUCGGAAUGGAGCACUAAAACCAUAAUUUGACUCUUAUGGAAAAACCUAGAAAUGUGUUACAAUACUUAAACCAUAGAUAAAGACUACUUUGUAAUUAUUUUUGAAAAAUUUGAGCGUAUUCUAAUUCCGCUACAUAUAUUUUUUCCCUUAAACUCAUUCAGAUUUGUUUAGUUCUAAUUUUACCACACUGUCUUGUUAUACUUUGUAAAGUACUACAUACAUUUUCAAAGAUACGACACUAAGGAUUUCUAAACAUUUGGUGAAUAGAACAAACUAACUAAUUCAAGAAUAGAUUAAUUAGCUUUUUCCAAGUGCCUUAUUACAUUUACAAACAAAAGAAAGUUAUAAGAGUAUCUCUAGUGGUCUUUCUUUCCUUAAUAAACUGUCAAUAUCAGGGGAAAGUUAUGCUCCAGCAGUUUCCCAAUAUCUCUCCCUUUCCCCAAUAAUUCUUGGGUUGUUCCAGUAUUUUACCCCAACUCCCCUCAAAAAUGGAGAAUUUUGGCUCUUUCUAAUUAUAUUGGAAUGAGAUUAUUGGUGAAUUGUAAAAUUAUUUCCCUCAAUAACUAAUAAAAUUGCUAUUGAGAUGUUCCAAUAAUAUAUUAUUGGAAGAUAUUUAUUGGAGGACCGCCGGAGAUGCUCUAACCACCAAUAACCUAUUGACGUUUUGACAUGAAAAACUUUUAGCUUAUCUUGAAUUUGAUACCAACGAUCUCCAUAGUAAAAGACUACCCUCAAUCUCAAUUAUCUUUACCGGUGGAUCUCACCAUCCACUAAAUUUCAAUAUCUAAUUAUUGGUUAUCACUGUAUGUAGAAUUGCAGAGCAGAGACGUCCAAACUCAUCAAAGUUGCAGGGUUCACCACUAAUCAUCUCAUCUCGUUCUCACGAAACAAAAAGACCGUUAGAUUCACGCACAACCUGCCCACGAGCAAAUCGCUUCCCACAUCCCCCAGUAACGCAAAACUGUAAAAAAAUGGCAAAACAAAUCGAGUAAAAAUAAAAAAUUAAAAAAUGCGGUCGAAAAGCGCAAAAGGCCCGCACGCACCUGCGCCUAUGUGCGCAGCGCCACCAAAGGCAAAGGGAGCCUCUCCCCCUCCCGUCCCAAGCGCCGGUAAACUCCAUCUCCUCCCACGCCCCAAUCUCUCCCAUUCCCCGAAACCCUAACCGCCACUUGGCCCCUUCCCGGAAGCGGCCGCGCCCCUCGCCAUCCUAGGCUUCGGGCGGGAGUCCGCUGCGCGUGGGCUGCGGCGGAGAUGGCCUCGUCGUCGGCGUCCUCGAGGCACCAGGUCACCAUCACCCUCGGCCGCAGCGGUCAGGUGAGCCGUCUCUGUCGUCAUUCUCCGCUAGGGAUUCGCCGUCGUUCACGGUGUUGAUUAGAAACGGAGCAGAGGAGGAGAGGGGGCAGAAUGAUCUGGUGGAGGUCUGAGUAGCUAUUGGCUAAACAUCGAAUCUAGCGUCGGGGAUGUCGGGCAUUAGUUUGAGGGAUGAUACGCGAUUUGGCGUGUCGAAUUUUCCAUGUAUGUUGUUGGAAUCGGUUGUUAUCUGCCGAGGGUACAAAAGCUUGCCAUGCUCAAGGGAUGCUGGUGUCAUCUUGUGAAGGUGGCUUGAUUUGUGGGUGACCGACAACUUAAUAGCUUCAGGUUUGACUAUUAGGGUGUGUGAGCUGACACAAGCUAUACCUGCAUGGUUGUUCUAAUGCUGUGGAGUUUAGCAGAGGAAUCUCUGGAUCUACUGCAGUUGUAUUAUUUGCUUGUCUCUUCAGCAUGCUUGGAGAGAAAUAAGAGGGGACUGGUAUUAUGUGUAGCACUUGAAUGAGAGCAAAAUAUUUUGACUUGGGGAAAACUACAGAAGCUUGUGUAAUGGAUGUUCUCUUGCAAGCUUUGUUUAGGGCAUGCCCCUUCCAGUACUGUUUAUUUGUACCUGUUGGUUACAUUGAAGAUUACCAAUCUGUUGCAUGCACAUUCUGUGUUCAGAAUUUUUUGUGCUGUUAGUGAUGAGGUAUUGAGAUCUAAAGUGCCCCGGAUCUUUUAUGCUGUUAGUAUCAUUCAAUCCUUUUCAGUAAAGCCACUCACGCUACCUCUUCUAUUAUGCAUGUUUAUGUUUUAUUUUAUAGUUGUCUAGUAUAAUAAAUUGUUUCUAAGCUAUAUUGGACUUGUUAAAGUAUUCAAGACCAGCUUUUAAGAUUUUCCAUGAGUUGAAAUGCUAGCUGGACCGUUGCCAAUUCUCCUGUAUCACCUACUUGCAUUUUGCAUCUUAAGAAUUCCCAAUUCUUGAUAAAUUUUGAUAUUAGCUUCUUGACCUUUAUUUUCUUCACCACAGGUUGUCAAAAGGAGGGAUAUAUCUGAUGUUAUUAAUGAUGAUGAAGUGCCAUUAUCGGGGAAAAAACGAUCUCUGAGGGAGAGGUUAGGAAGUAAUGUGACUGAUUCUGAUUUUUAUGGAAGCCAGCAUAGAAACAAAAGGUAUUCAAAGGAUUCUUGGAUCUGCUAUUUUUAUCGUUUUUAAAUGCUGCAAAUUUCUUAGUUUUUGCGCAUCACAUGACAGAGUUUGUUUCUUCAUGGUACUUUGCCCCCGAUUGUGUGUUAUGGUGUUAGCUUCACGAUGUGAAACUCUCAGUCACUCAAACUUGCCUAAAUGCUUCUUAUGUAUUACUGUAAACUCCAGUGCAUCAUGUAACCUAUGUAUUUGGAUUACCGCUAUUACUAUCAAAUAUGUUUUCCACUUUAUUGAUGAUCAUCUGAAGCAGAUGUUAUUAAUUUACUGAAUACCGUUCUCUCGGGUGUGGCAUUGACUUUAUUAUCAUCCCAAGUCCAAAUUUAGCUCUUGUCCAUAUUUUACCAAAUUAGCAUACCUAUAGAUAUGGGUAUGCAUUACGCUAACCAACACUGCAUAUUAUAUAUCCCCCCAUCCCUCGAACCCCUCCCCCCCCCCCCCCCCCCCCCCCCCCCCCGCGCGCCAAACACACACACACAGCAUAUAUUUGUAAUUUCUUUUGAAAGAGCAUAGUACAUGUAGUCCCGUUUAUAGUCGUUUUUGUUACAUUCCAUCACUGCAAACUUUAGGUCACUCUAUGUUCUUCUGUAACUCGUAAUUGAUUGCUUAGCAUUGUGGUUGCUCUUUCACUUUGCAGGCAACAGACAGAAAGUGAUAGCUCACAUGGAGAUGAUGGUUCAGGUGAUAAUAAACCUUAACUUCUAGUAUUCGUUCACUAGGAUUUGAAGAUGUCCAACACUACUUACGUUGUUGCAUUGGCCUGCAAUAUAUUUGAAGAUCGCCAGGUUGGCAAGGAUGAUCUGAGACUGAAACUUAUGAGGAAAGGCUUGUUACAGAGGUGCAAUGGUGGCGCAGAACAGAAUGGAGUGGAUCUCCGGGAAAAGCUUUCCCGAAAUCAGAAGAAUUUGUCGAGAUACGAUGCAAGAGGCCAUGCACCAGAAUCGAGGGCUAGGUAUGAUAUGAGAGACAAGCCCCCAGAGUUAAGGUCUAGAUAUUCUUCAAGGGAGGGUGUCCUAGUAUCAAGGCCCUCUGCUGUUGUAAGUCGAAUUCCUUCUGCAAGAAGUGUGGAUGAGAUGGACUCUUCAAGAAAACCUUACUCCUCAUGGGCAACUGAUGGUUUGAGGCACAGUUCACCUGAAAGGCUUACAAGUUUUCGGGGUGAUGCGUCUCCACCAAGAGCUUAUGAUCAGAUUAGGUCUAUGCCAUCCCUUAGAUCUGUUGGUUCCUCAAGACCUCAGAGUUUUAUUACAAGAGAUGCUCAUGACACAUCAAGAGCUCAACCAUAUUCUGGCAAAUCCACCAUUUCUGUUGAUGCAGUACAGAGAGCUAAUGGAAUCACUCCGUCUGGUGCAGCUAUGCCUACAGCCCCAGUUGUGGUUUGUAUCUCACUUCCUGUCAUGGACCUGAAUUUAUCAAUACUUCUGAUGAAAGAAAGGAAAUUUUAGAUCCAACUUCAUUGAUUUAUUUGCGCCCACCAUUUUCAAAUUGUUUCCGAAACCACAUCUGCUAUCUGUUCUGUAAUGCUGUAGGCAUUAUGAAACUAACAUUUAAACAAGAAAUUGAAAUUAUGACAUAUCUAUCUUUGCCAAUAAGCUCCUUGUUGCACUUUGGCUUGGUCCUGGCGCUGGUCGAGUGGUGGUAUAUUUGCUCAUUUGUGUGGUUAUUUGUUGCUAGUAUCAACAACCUUCUUUAGAAUUUAGAACACCAAUAACCUUCUGAAGCUAACAUCAUUGAAAAAUGAUCAUUCAUUGAUGCUCCUGAUACAGCUUAUUGAAACUUGCUAUAUUAUCAAAGAAAAAACACAUUUGAAACGGAUGUGAUCUUUUAACUUCUGUUCAGUUUGCCCAUGGUUACUUAGGAGUCUAAGUUCCUUAUCAAAAUUGUACUAACGAAUUUUAUGGAGUCACAUGAAUUUUAUUAGUCUAUGCAAUCCUUUACUAAUGCUUGUGCUUGUUAUGACAUUGCUCUAUGGAAUUUUGCAGAAAGAAGUUCCGCAAACGGUUACUGAAUUGCUGAGUUCUCUGGGACUGGAGAAGUAUCUUGUUCUCUUUCAGGCCGAGGAGGUAACCUUCGAGGCUUCGAUUACUAAAUUACUUGUUCAAUCUAUUUAAAUAUCUUUUUGUGGGUAAUUUCAUGCAUUCCGUUUCAAUUUUGUCCAUCAUGAACUUGUGCUCUCUAGAAGAGCUCUUGCAUUUUCAAAAAGCUUGUUAGUUCAUAGCAUUUGGCAGUUUUGUUCUUAGGUCCUCAUCAUUAUUCUUGCAUUGUUAUUUAUUCAUUGUCAUGGCUUCCUGCUUUUUACCUGUUUUCCAAUGGGAUAGUUCAUGACUUGUUACCGUUUGUUUUUUAAGUUUAUACUCCAUUCAUUCUAUGUGACUAUUGUGAUGCAUAGGCUCAAAUUUAUGAGAUUAUUAGGAUGUAUAGACUUUUAUGGGAUUAUAUUCAUGCGUUUGCAAAGCAAUAUGUUUAAUAACUUAUGGAGUGAUUAUUGUGAUGAUACUGCAACAUUUUUUUUGGGCAUACUAUUUACUUGUUUGCAGGUGGAUAUGGCUGCAUUGAGGCAAAUGGGAGAGAGCGACCUCAAGGACAUGGGGGUACCAAUGGUAGGUUAGAGCUGUGCUGCCUUUUGGUAUUUACCAUGCUAACCUGCACCACAUCAGCAUCUCUUUGGAAAAGCAAACACUUGUUAGGAUGUGGACUUGCCAAAAUGUGUGCAUAUGUGCAAUGUAUGAAAACUUCAGAGUUUACAAUUUUUUCCUACUCAGUACUGUUGCUAUAGCGGUUAAAUUGAAUUAGAGACUAUUAAUAAAAGAUUUAGCUGAAGUUCACUUAAACAUGAAGUUUCUAUCAAAAAGUGAUUACCUUUUCUGUUAGCAAAGGAAACUGAUUACCUUUUUUUUGUAGAAAUGGAGCUCAUGUUAAAUAUAUUAUGCUAUAUUACAUACUUUUGUCAUUCCAAGCAUAUACACUUGGCGUACAUGGCCAUAAUGUAGAUAUAAUGGCUAAAAAGUAGGCAGAAGACAAGCACCUUGUCCCUUCCCAAACAAGAGGGCUUUGUGUUGUCCCUUCCCAGUAAAAAUGAGUUGUGGCACAACCUAGGCUGAUGUCUCAGUUCUCGUAGGGGAAAAAGAUGCAACCUCAGUUUAUAGACUCACCAUUUCCAACCAGUGUUCUUAAGGUGAUACAGUGUCUUGUGGUGUCUUGGCCUCUUGGGUGCGCCUUGUUGCCUUGGCGGCAACUUGGCGACAAAGAUUAACUAGCAUCCUGAUUCCAACUACUGCUGGGAAGAGUGGCUACACUGUAUUCUACGAAUGUUUUUUGCUGAAAAUUGUUACCCAUGCUUUUAUUAAUUGAACCUGCAUAGUAUCUUCCAGAAUUUAAAAGGCCUCCCUGUUUACAUUGAACAUCUACCUAAUGCAUGUCAGAAAUGAAAUGUAGCAAAGCAGAAGUUUUCUUCCAAUCACUAAAAUUCUCCAUUUGACUUGUCGUCUUGUCUUAGAGCCCUAAACAUUGUUCCGCAAGGACCAAUAAUCUUCAGUUGCAACAUUGUUUAAUGCAAACCACUGUUUUCAUGUUUUGUUAUGUGUUUCUAUGCUAAUCUGCAUUGUUUUCUUUUGUGUUUUGGUUGCAACUCUGAAUCCCCCAGUUGAUUGGUUUUAACCUAACCCUAAAUAAAUAGAUCGUCAGCAAUUUAUUGAAAAGUCUUGUUGAAUUGUUGUUAUUAGUGCUUUUUUCCGAACAAAUUGUUUGUACUAGUUUGUCUAGUUGGAUACAGUUUUGAUGGAUGUUUUUUUCUCAGGGCCCGAGGAAGAAGAUUCUCCUUGCAGUAGGUCCUCAGUCGAAGCAACGGCAAAGAUGAGCAGCAUGAUCUGGGACUUGGAAACUGGAAACAUUUGUUUGGCAACUGCAAAUUAUUGGUGUAACUAAAGAAUGCCUCACUGCAGAUCUUGUAUAUCUUUAGUGGUCGUCUUAGUUUCACCCUUUUGUUGCUGAUAGAUUAAGUUCGUGCUUUUGUUGACACGUGUAAAGUCUUAUCUGUCAGCUGUUAGAGUAGCAGGCUUGAAACAGGCGGAUAAUUACCAGUCUGGAAUUUGGUGGGGGGUAUAUUAGAACGGCCAUGAUCACAGUGCCAUCUUUCAUACAUGAUAGCAUUGAGGAUCGAAUGAUCCAUAAUCCGCUGCAGGUUCAAAUCUAACGUUAUGCUGUGUUCCUUGCUCGAUUAUUAUUAUUGAUGGGCAAUGUGUCUACUGGGACUCGCUUUAUGCAGAUAAACGUGCAUGAUUUUUUAUAUUUUGAAACUAGUAUCUAUUUAUGUCAACUUGAACGCCUAAAUCAGUAAAUGCAGGCUGACCGGGCCCUACCGACCCGCUUGUCUGUUCCCACCAAAUCGCGCUCGUGAUUUGUUCACAGGGGACGCUUGUGUUAUCUAACAAAAUUAGGAAACGAAGAAAAAACCCACCACAACGUACUACAGCAACAUCUGAAAAUCAACUAUGAGACAUCAAAAAUCAAAUGAUGAAACAUCUCGAAUCACGCCCCACAACAUCAGAAAUCAACGAUGAAACAUCUCGAAUCACACCCCCGACAUCAGAACUCAUCCACCGCAACAUUUUUUCUGUUAACGAUUGCAACAUCAAAAGCUCACCCUGGGUUGAGCUCGUCACCACGAAACAUCGAAUCUCAAUAGCCGCAACAUGCCAGACAAGCUACUGCAACAUCGAAAAUCCUCAGUACAAUCCGGUUGACCUGCGAAGGAGCUCACAGCCACCAUCGAAGAGCUUGCCGCUUGCGUGGCUAGCUGUGGAGGAGUUCAUCGAAUACGGAGGACUGUGGCGCCGCCGCCGACCUCGUGCAGGGCGGGGGUACGCCACCGGCGACCUCGCCUGAAGGAUGGUCGCGCGCGGAGGUGCUGCACAACCCCCACAGCUCCCACGAGAGCUCGUUUGUGGAGUGAGAGGGAGAGAGAGAUGACCGAGAGGCUAAAGGGGAAGGGGUGGAAGGAUAAGGUUGCUGGCUGGGUACUACAUAGUUUGUUCACUCCAGCGGCGGUUCGAACGAACGAUUCAUUCCAAUCCAAUUUCUUUUCGUCCCCGAGACCUACCCCAGAUCCGCUGGCGGUCGGGGAACCCAACCGCACGCACGGCUCCCGGCUCCAGGCCCCGGCGACGGCACGAUGCGGCGGCAGCCAUUCUCCCGCCACGAUGGCUUCUUCGCCUCACUUCAGCGGGUGGAGGACCGGCUGGCCUCCGAGCAGCAUCAGGAGCAGAAGCGGGACCCGGCGCCACCGCCGCCGGCGGCAUGCCAACCCGAGCCGGCGCCGUUCUCGGACACCAUGACGACCGCGUCCCCGCUGCUCCUCCUCGACCCAGCACCGCCCAGCGUGGCCGCAAGCCGCGACAGCAGCGGCCCGGCGCUGGACUUCCUCACCGCCCUCACCGAACAGGACGCGCGCGUCCAGCAGGACGACGACGACGACAAUGGCGGCGGCGGUGUCGAGGAGGACAUUGCGCGGCUCAUGGCGCUGCUAGGCCUGUCGCCACCGCCACCGGACGGCGACGGCGACGGCGGGUGCGACGCUGAAGGCGGCACGGGCGGGUGCGACUGCAGCGGCGCCGACGGGUUCCUGGCCAAGGUCGUCGGCGUGGCCGGCCCCAAGUGCGACGGGGAGAACCGGAGGCUGGACGCCUGGAUCCGCCAUUAUUACCACCGUGGGGAAGGCGGCGGGUGCCGGGUCAGGGAGCCUGCGAGGCUGGCGCACCUGCUGCUUGCCAGGGCCUCCAGUGACGCGGCGGCGGUCGCGUCCCCGCCCACCGUGGAGGACUUCCUCGACCGCUAUCCUAAAUAGGGGUAUAUGUGUAAAAUACCGAUUCGGGAGUUUGCAAUAUACCCCUGAUUAAUAGUUGCGAUCCGAACUAGGGGUUUAUGCGUAGAAUGUCAAUCCUAUUUUUUCAAUAUGCCUCCUGAUUUGGAUCGCGAUUAAUAAUCGCGAUCCAAAAUAAGGGUCUUUUGUAAAAUGGAUGGAUCUGAUAUUUUGCACUAUAACCCCUAAUUCGGAUCGCAUUCAGGGGCCUCUCGCGAAUACAUUCAGCGCCACGGCGGCGACGAAGAGGUGCUGCCGCCGGUCGCCGGAGACCCCAUCGCCACGCCACCACCACCCAUCAAUCGCAGCAUCGACAUCAGCAUCGCAAGCGUAGCUCCUUUGGCACUGCCCAACCAUCGUCCGGCUCGAGCCACCGCCACCGCCUUCAACGGGUGGGGAGCCGCUCUGGCGGCGCCGCGGCGAGACCGACGCCAUCGUGGACAUAGGAGAAAGAGACGACCGCGAGAGAUCAUGGGAGGCGAGCGGAGGGACUGCCUGCGGACUGACUCUCAUCAUCACACUGGCGGAUUGGCCUGUCCUCGAUCCUCGAUCUGCGACAUAAACAGGCUGAUCGAAGCUCCUAGUGAUGGAGAAAGCUAGCUCUGCUCCGGUCGUCUCGCCUUUUGUCAAUCAGCACAAUGAAACACCGAGUCAUGUAUUCUUAGAUCCAGAUGAUGAGGCAACAUGUUCGAUUGAAAUUGGUGCCAGCGCUUCAUCUUUUCCCCAUUCAAAUCAGUUGAACCAUGUAUUCCGAGAUAUUUGAUAUUUGGGAUCCAAUUCGGGAGCCUUUCAAGAUUUGACACUCAUAUCACAAUGAUAUGUGGGGUCAAUCUGAGUCACUGGCGUAUGGGUCAGGGUGUCAAAUCUUGAAAGGCUCAUGAAAUUUCUCAUGUAUUCUCACCUUUUGCGUCCCGCUUGAUCUGUUUAAAAUUGUCCGCAUCGCAAUUCCAGUUUGAUCAGGUCAGUCUAUGUACGCGAAGAUGCAAGGCAGUCCGCAGCUUCUUGAUUUGCAGUUUUAGCUGUUUCGACGAACACGGCCCAGUAAUUAGCAAAUCUAGUUUCAACGAAGAAGAGCAUUGCAAAACCACACGAAGAUGUUCUGCUUCUGCAUCAUGAUUUCGUUGGUGCACGCAGGGCUGCAGGCAUCCAGGAAUAUUGUGCAACUCCAAACUUUAUUGUAUGCGACAUAUUGUGCAACAGCUCGCCCAUCAACAUUCAACAAAGCAUAGCAAACAUAAUGAUAUUAUAUGGCACUAACAAAACCACAAGACGGUGGAACAAUGUUCUUUUUACUGGAGCAAUACGAUAAACUAGUAGUUGGAGCAGCAGCAGGCCGGUUGACAUUUGGAGGAACAGCGAAGCUCACAGCUUCGAGAUGAGACUGCCGUUCUGGAUGGCCUUGGGCGACUCGGCUUUCUUGAAAUCGGCAUCCCAACGAGCUGGGAGGUCCGUUGGUUCACUGCCAGUGACAGAAAUGCUGACAGGCUCAAAAGCCGAUGCCAUGAGCAUGAGGCCGAUGCGCUCUACCGGCAUGACCGGGCGGUCUUCCAGCCUUGGGAUGCUGAACACGUACCUGCAGAUGCAGAACACAGUUUAUAAGAUUUUGCAACAUUUAAGCUGCAUGAACGGUUCCAGUUUCAGAGUAACGUCGUUCAAGAUGAUGGUCUGUCAUGAAGGAAGUACCAAGGAACAAUGUUGCUUUCCUCCAGAGGCCUAUCCUCCUGAACCCAUGUAGCCAAACCCUCGUGGAUUCCAGGAUUCUGGCUGGGAAACUCCCCUCCAGGGAACAUUUUGUCGCUCGGGCAGAGCCAACGGCAGGCAUAUUGGGUGACCCAGAGAUUGUGCUUCAAGAAGACAAGAACCCAGCUCUCCUCGGAAAUUUCGCCUUGGGCAGAGUGCCAGAGCCAACGUCAGGCAGUUUGAACCAGGAAGGAGCCUGUAACCAGUUGGCUGCCCAGUGCAGUUCACAGUUCCUGUGUUCCUUCCCUGAUCACAAUGCAAACAAGUGCCAAACGAAAUGAACAGCGUGAUAGCACAAGUUCAAUGCGGUUAUAUAUGUGCUCUAGGCUGUAUUUGUGAAUUGUGAUGACAUCUUCAGACUUCAGUCACUAAAGUGAUUCCAUACUGAAGCUAUGCAUGUUCUAGGAAUAAAACAGGUUUUAACACACUUGUUUUUUAGACUGAAGCAACUUUCGUUUAAUUAGUUUCGUAAUACUAGCAGAUACAAGGUCAUUCCGCAGCCUCGCCCUCGCUCUCCCAGUUUGCCGGCUGUGACCAGCUUCCCACGCCGCCACGCUGGAGGGGGGUUCACCGGUGCCUGGGAUCUACUGCAGAUUCUUAAUUCUACUGCUGUCCUCCGCCGUCGCGGCCGAGGAUCUCGUACAAGCUGGUCCUGCCCAGGCGACAAGCUCGCGGUCGCGUCCUCGGAACUGCACGCUAGUUCUUAGCGUAGGAGUCCUGCACUCCGCCGCGCGCCUUCAAGAUAUUGGAGCUCAACUGUGGACCAAAAUCGAAGCCACGGACGGGCAGCAGAUGCCCCGAUCCGUCCACCGGCCACCGCCGUCGUGCCCUGGUGCCCCUUCGCCUACUCGUCGUCCUGGUUACUUGGUUAGCUAGUGGACGCGUCCAAAGGCUACAGGCAUUGGAACGGAGCACGACCGUCGGAAGGCCGCACCUACCGGCUGCCAUGGCAGCUCCUUUCUUCUGCUUCCUAUCCAAUCCCCUCCGGCACGACGGAAUCGGAGGACAGCCCCAUCCAUAUCGUUCUGCAGGAGGACCGGCAAUGUCCCCGUACGUCGGAGCCGGUGAAUCAGCACGCUUCCGGUGUCCAAAGCUUUGGCGGAAGAACCGGCGAACCUCCUUUCAUUUGGACCGUAGAGCGAAAAUCUGGCCCUAGGAUUCGAUUCACGGAGGUGGAUGGGUUGGAUCUUGAGCUUGCGCUGCACGGAGGCCGCGGGUGGCGGCGGAUUGCCGGACGCCGGGAGCAGGGGAGAACGACCUGCGCAUUACCAAAGAAGAGGGCUGAUUUUGUAAAUUUUAGAGGGACACUUUGCAAUAUACACCCUAAUUUGGAUCACGGUUAAUAGUCGCGAUCCAAAAUAGGGGUAUAUCUGUAAACGGUCGAUCCGGAUUUUUACAAUAUACCUCCUAAUUUAGAUGGAAUCAUUUUGUAGACUACAUAACCGUUAUUUUGCAUUAUAACCCCAAUUCCGCACUUCAGAUCGCGGUAUGGCCGUUUCGCGAACAGAGACGGCGCCACGACGACGAAUCGACGAUGAAGCCCCGCUGCUGCCAGAGACCCCAUCGCCACGCCACCACCCCUCAUCAAUCGCGACAUCGGCGUCGGCAUCAAGCGUAGCUCCUUCCGGCACCGCCCAACUGUUGUCCCGGCCGAGCCAUCGCCACCGCCACCGCCUUCAAAGGGUAGGGACUGGGGGAACCGCUCUGACGGCGAGUCUGACGCCACCGUGGACACAGGAGAAGGAGACGACGGCAAGAAGCCAUGGGAGGCGAGCAGCGAGCCGCCUUCCUGCGGACUGCUCUCAUCAUCAUAAUGGCGGAAUGGCCUGUCCUCCAUCCUCAACCUGCGACAUGAACAGCCUAACUGAAGCUCCGAGUAAAGGAGAAAGCUACUCUGCUCUGAUCCUCUCGCCACCUGUCAAUGCAGACCAAGAACCAGCUCUAUGAAACACCCAGUCAUACAUUCAUGGAUCCAGGCGUCGAGGCAACAUGUUUCAUUGAAAUCGGUCCCAGCGCUUCGCCUUUUUUCCAUUCAAUCUGUUGGUGCAGGGCGGUCCAGUGCUUCUUGACUUGCAGUCUCCGUUGCUUCGAUGAACACACGGUAGGUAGUAAUUAGUAAAUCCAGUUUCAACAAGAAAGAGCAUAGCGAAAGCACACGAAGAUGUUCUGCUUCUGCAGCAUGAUUUCACUGGCAGGACUGCAGGCAGCCAGGGAUAUUAUGCGAGUCUGAACUUUAUUGUAAGCGAGCAAUGCAGCAGUUCAACAGUUCGCCGAUCAACAUUCAACAAGCAUAGCAAACGAAACGAUAUUACAGGGCACCAACAAAACACAAGGCAGUGGGAAACAGUUCUCCUUUUCUUGGAGCAACACGACGCGGUGGAAGAGGAAGAAGGACGAGGAGGAAGAACGUAAUUGGGACCCCGAGAAGCUAGAAGACGACCCUAACGCCUUUGAAAGCUAGGUUGUUCAGAAAGAGGUGGGAUGACAUCUAUCUGAAAGACUAUGGUAGCUUCGAUGAGAACAGUGAGUUGACUUGCCACGCUAAUUACUUUGGUUCUUGUCGCUUUAGUUCGGCACUUGUUGUAACUCGAAUCAUUUCAUACUUCAUAAUAUAAUAUCUAGUCUACAUUGAUGCCCCUUCAAUCUCAAGUGAUGUACAUGUGGCAGGAUCAAAACUAGAUCAAUGAACAAGAAUAGCCUAGUCUAUAUUGUUAUGCUUAGUGCUUACUACUGCUACUGUCGGCUAUUGGGCUCAAAUAUCCCAACUCAUGGGCCGUACGUUUUUCUUUUCUUCCGUGAUAGGCCCAUUCGGCCCGUUUCCUUCCAUUUUACCUCCUGCCCGUGCUCGCUGGCACCCGACGCCGCUCCCCUCCCUCUGUCCUCUCUGCCCCUCUUCGUCAGCGCACAGCAGGCCGUUCGUUCCCUUCCAAAUUUCCAAUCACCAUUGCCCUCGUCGCGAUCAAUCCAGUGCUCGCGCACGUGGUCAGCGAUCAAUCCAGGCCACGCCACGAAGGUGGAUUCGGCGAUGGGCAACACGAAGGAAGGCCACGCACGCCGCGAAGGUGGGUUCGGCGAUGGGGAACUCGAAGGAGGAAAAGUUACGGAAGCAGUUGAAGAGGUAUGAGGAGUAUAGGAGGAAGAUGGAUGAGGAAGAGCUUCAUCGGGAUCCAGAGGAGCUAACAGACCCUUACGCCUAUCAAGCAAGGUUGUUUGAAGAAAGGUGGAACGUGCUCUAUCUGAAUCGCUAUGGUCGCUUCGAAGACAACAGUGAGUGACUCGUUAAUUACUCUCGUUCUCGACCUACAUGUUAAUUACUAUCCUUACUCAUUCGGAAUCUCCUACAACUCGAUGCAGCAUCUAUCCCUUGCAAGCGGUAUACAGUUAAUCCUGCGCCAUAUGGUGGUCGUAAGAGCGAUACUCUGCAGGUGUUUUCUGUCAAGGUCGCAGAACUAACAGGAGGUUUACAGUGGCCGCUCGAUGUGUUUGGUAUGGUUGCGCUACGUGACUUAUUAGAUCACAACCGCAAUAUUAUCUUCAAGCGCGAAAGGGGUAACUGCCAAACCCUCACCACCAUGCUUUUUUUCCUGCGCUGCACCUUUUAUCUCAGUUAUUGUUACCAUGGAAGCACGCAUGGAGUUUCUUCAAUGAAUAAUCUCAGUUUUGUCAUCUAAUUCUUCUAUCAACUGUCUUUAUUUAGAUUUAAAAUAGUGCAGAAUGAUGGCUGAUGCAAUGUUAUUCUUUGUAGAAAUCACCAUGACUCCCGUGUGGUGGAAUUGCCAUGCCUAUUACUUGCAUAAUAAUCAUGCACACAACUCUAACGAACAAUUGAGAAGGAGCAAAUGAGGUGUGCAUAUCAUAAAAUUCACUCAUGUGGUUUGAUCAUAGAGAUAGAUGGACAUCUCGUAGCAUAGCACAAAGCAGGCUCAACUAUAAUCACUAAUUCAAAUCAGCACACGCUUAUGAGACUAGUAAUUGUUGAUUUGAGACAUUGCUUGAACUUGCUACUUCUCACACUUACGAGAUUCAUGCUAUAGGGGGUACAUGACUGGCGUCAGGUAUAGGAGCCCUUUGGAAGAUUGCAUGUGAUUUGCAAUUUGUUCCUGACUCUGUCACCAUAUGAAUUCUAAGCUUUUUUGCAUGUGCCCCGCAAUGAAUUGACAGCACUGUACUUGAUAGUUUCGUGUCAAUUUCCUUUGCAUUUUAGCUAGAGAAAUGUUUCAAUGUUGUUUGCAAAGUUGGGAAAUCAGAUAUUCUAAAUAAACAUGGUUUAACAUGUUUUGGUGAUACGCGCACUAAAAAGUUCCAUUUCCUUUUGUUAUUCGCUGAUGAGUUAAGCUAGCAUUUGUCUCCUAUCAUAUGUGCUAUGCACCUUGCAUCAUUUAUGCUAUGAACUUUGUUUUCACUAUGCCGUUUCAGUGUCCUGUUGCUAUGUGUGCCUCGUAUUUCACUUAAGUUUACUUACUUUUCUAAUGAUGUUGCAUGCAGAAUCCAUAUUUAGUACUGACAGGUCCCGUGCGUGGUGUUGUGUUCGCUGGUCCUGUGGUCUUUGGGGUUCUGUUGUAUGUGAGGGGGGCGCCACUGAGUCCGGUGACAAAGAAUUAAGCCUGCUAGCUGCUAGUCUCACCAUGUUCUCUAAUUGCCCACUGACUUCGCUUCUGAUUACGAAGUCUUACACUAGCAGGCUAGCACGCUGGACUUCAAGCUCGGCCAUAUCGUUUACUCUACGGAAGCUACAAGCAGUGUGCAAGUCAUUUCUGGGCCAGGGCCAGAUAGUUUCCAUGGUCGUUUCGCGGCCGUUGCUGACAUCGACGAGGAAUUCGUGCUGCUCGAUUCUGAAGAUGAGAAUGUUCCUAUCUGUGGCGGUGAGAUCAAGCUUUCACGGUGCGUUUUUUCUGUUGUGUCUUUCGAAAAGCUGAGAAUUUCUGUCAAGGCUCAGCAGGGCGGCAGAGUUUUCCGGGGUGGAGUGGAUUUCACACCUCAGGGCAUGGGGGCAAAACUCUCGGACACGAUAUCGGCUUCUGCAAGAUGGAAUUCACCGUCGAUUGGUCCCUUUUCUCUUACAGUGCGACUUAGCUAGCUGUGCUGUACUGCUGCUAGUUUACUGUUUAGUUGCUGCAAGUACUGGUGCUGCAUUUGCGAGGUGAGGUGGUAUACUGGUAUUUUAAUGAUGGUUAGGAAUGCGGUUAUGCCGCUAUUAUUCUGAAUCGGUAAUCUCUGAACUAGUAAUACCUGAUGAUGGCACAGCGACAUCUUUGCCUAUGGAAGGCGCCGGAUCUGAUGUCGUUUGCCAUCUCUCCUGUGUUGCUUCCUGUUUAUCAGGAUGGACCUGGUGGUUAGCUCGCCCCAUGCGAGUGGCCCUCCUGUGUUCCGUUUCGGGCUAAUCAUCACGCAACGGCUCGGGCUACCCGCUAACCGCAGCAGCAGCUAGGACUAGUUGACAGAUCGCAGUGUGGAUGCAGGGCCUGUUUGAAUGCUUUCUGUCCCAGCCAAGCUGAUUGCCAUUUGCCAGCGUCAUUUCCUCCGACCCGGAUGCAGAUACAGUCGCGUGCCCUUCAGGGCCCAGCAUUGAAGCGCAGUGAAACGCUUUGCCCGGCAGGGACCGGCCGGACUCGCCUGUCCACGGCGGUCGGCAGCGAUCGUGGUAGAGCGACCGGCCGGCCAGGUUGGCCGACUUUAAGAGGGGCGUCCCAUGGUGUCUGUCGUCCAUGGAGGGAGAGGCGUCGUCCAGAAACCGCUCACGAGCACGGCGGUAGCAGCCAAUGGAACAGCGCCGCCUCUCAGUUCCAUGUGCCGACAGCCGACUCCCCAUCUGCUGCUACCAGCAGCUCAACUUCGACAUGGCGGUGCGGCCAUGGCCAUCCCUUCGCUGAACUUACUGAAGGCCGUUUGUUUCUGCUUGGACCUUCAGCGUGGCUUGAGAUGCUGCUCAGCUAUGACGGACACGUUGAUUUCCUGACCUGGGACCUUGUCAACGAGGAGUUACUGUUAACCGGCUGGAGAAUUGUGUUAAUCGACGUGGACGUCUCUCCAGCCUUUGGCAGAUCGAUCAUGGACGACGGCAGAAAGGAUGCAACGAGACAACGAUGCACGGGAAAUUGCCAUCAGCGACAACGAGAUGAUGCACUGAAAACACCUACGGUGCAGCACCAACAAACGAAGAACAUCACCGCUGGAUUGGGAAAUUUCUACAAUCGCAAGCCGCUCUCAAAAUGACACCCAAUCUGUACUGCACUCAAAACUCAAAAUGACACCCAAUCUCUAUGAAAUUCGGAAUUAGCUUUGCCUUUAGUUCAUCACCCUGUUAAGAACUCGAACGCUCCACAGUGUUCAUCACAAUUCGAACGCCCCACAAUGUUCAUCACAACUUUCAUGUUCAGGGAACAGCUCCUCCUUCCCCGAUCGAAUCCUAUCCUAUCGAAUUCGAACCCACCGACGGAAUGCGCAACAAGUCCGCUAGCUCUCAGUCGAGCGCGUCGCAGCGGCGCCUGACGACGCCCUGGCGCCCGGUCUUGACGCCGACGGCGCCGAGCCUCUGCAUCGCGGCGGCGAAGUCCUCGAAGAAGGCGGUGCGGUUGCCGGCGUACCGCUCCGCGAACACCCGGGUGGGCGGGUACUCCCACAGCGCGGCGUCGGAGGCGAGCAGCCCCAGCCCGCGGGGCAGGUUCUUGUAGUAGGCCUCGUCGAAGUCCCGGGGCGUCACGAUGUCGUUGAAGAUGGAGACCGUGGGGUCGCUCCGGUACCCCGCGCAGGAGCGCUGCAGCGCGCGCGCGAACUCCGGGCUCAGCCGCGGGUCGUGCCCGCCGGCGCCGCGGUAGCCGUAGAUGCGGUGCGCGAACUCGCCGCAGUGGGAGAAGCCCACGGUGUGGGCGCCGGCCAGCGCCACCAUCUCCCGGGGCGUGAGGCCCUUGCCCGCGAAAAGCCGCACCAUGGCGCGCGCCGACAUGUUGGUGCGGGGCAGGUUCCCCUCGACGUCGCGGGCGUCGGAGCGGCGGGCGUCGCGCCGGCCGAGCGCGACGGGGAACCGCGGCCCGCCCAGGAUGCCCACGAGGUCCCGCGCCGCGAGGGCCAGGAUGUCGGCGCAGGAGACCACGCCGGGGCAGGCGGCCUCGAGCGCCGCCUUGGCGCGGUCCACGGCGUCGAAGGCGUCCCCCGGGAGGGAGAGGUUGAUCUCCGCGGCGCGCUCCGGGGACGCGUCGGAGGAGAGCGGCGAGACGAGCACCGAGGCGUCGCAGCCGUUGACGAAGCAGUCGUGGAAGAAGAGCCGCAGCGUGCCCGCCGCCGUGGACGGGUUCGCGCGCUGCUUGGCCGCGAUGACGUCCGACACGAUCCGCUCCACGCGCGGGCAGCUCUGGCGGUAGUAGUUGGGCGACAGCCUCGGGGCCGCCGACGCCGACGCCGCGCAGGCGGCGGCGGCAAGGAACGCGAGGGACAGCAGGAGGCGGCGCCGGAGCGGCGCGCCCAUGGCGGAAAGAUAAGGGAGAUAGAGAGAGUAACGGCGGCGGCGGUGAGAGAUGACGGUGCUCUUGGCUCGAUUCAGAGAGAGAGAGAGAGAGAGCGGUGGAUGGGAAAAGGUGGUAGAGAGAGAAGGAGAGGAGAGUGUGAGGUGGAAGGAGAGAGAGUGAGGGGUUGGGGUGUAGUGGCGAGCGAAUUGAUGGCGGGGUUUAAGGGGGGAGGGGAGUGCGGUGCGGAGGCGGAACGCGGUGGUGGUUUGCAAGCUCGAGGCGGGCGGAGCAGGACGACGGGGCGGACGGAUGUCUUGGGUUUUCACCUUUGUUUUCUCCAGCGGCGGUAGAUACUGUCCUACUAGAUUACUAGAUAAUGCUGGUUGGCACUGUGAUCCACGUUAAAAAAUCCGGGGCGGGACCGCGCCUGAUCUGAGCAUCAGAUCGUCCCCAAAGACGACGCAAAGCGCAGGGCCUGACACGUCUACACGCUCUCCUACUGCCUUGGCAAGUUUACCUGAAUUUUACCCGGCGAGUAUUUCCGGCAUCAGCAUCAGCGCAACGGCAUCGACAGGGUAGCAUCAGUAGCGGACUUUUUCUGUAGUGCACUAGUGCAGAACCGAAUUCCCCUGUCGUGCCAAUCGUCGUGAGGACCAGCAGGGGACCGGGGCCGUGGCAGCAAUAAAGCGGCGCGGCUCCAAGGCACCAACCGUGUCCCGUGGCCACACGUCGCGCUACAUCUUUUUGCCCGGGCGCCAUAGGCAUCCGAGCCGCGGGCCCGCGGCAGCCGGUCGCACCGCGCACGGGAGGGAGGCGCCCUGUGCGCACGCACAUGCCCCCAGCGGAAAGCACGCCAACUGAAAGCGAGGACCAUGACCAUGGCUUGGAGGUUUAUCUCGGGAGCUCCCGUCCAAAGCGGCCAUCUCUGCGUGCGAGUUUUUGUCUGCGUGUCAGUCAGCGAGCACUCGGUCCCUUCGCCGUUACGACACCAAGGCAGCUAGGCUGUUGUUACGAUACCUUGUAGUGUCAGUGUGUCGCACCAGGCGAGGAGGAGCCGGUCCUCCGCUUGGCACCAUUUCGCAGUUUGCAGCAAGAAAGAAGAGUUCAGCAGUAGCCACUAGCCCGCUAUCUAGCACCGGCCGGUGCAAAAUGCAUGCGGGAACCAGCGGGCGGCCGCCGCGCCGCAUCUUUCCGGCGAGACACGCGGCGCCGGCGGAUAGUGCGCGCACUACGACGCGCGCGCUCGCUUUCGUCCACCCAGAAGCAUCUCCGGCCGCAACCGUAGCGGCCCGUCCCACUCCGUUCCUGCUAGAUUACAGCUGGGUUUCCAAUACCGUUAGCACCUCGCCUAGUCGCCUUCCGUGGAGCCAUAGCCCUGCCGCGCCAGGGAUGGCAACCACGAGACGAGAAGAACUGGACAGCGACGUCGCCUGCGCUGGAGUAUGGCUGCUGGUCGUGAUGCCACUACCGUUAUCCGCGUGGUUCUGACAAUGCGCGGACGAGGGGCCGCCGGCCGGGGGGCGCAUCGGUCGCGGUCCUUGCGCAGCUGGGGGGCGCCUCACGCCGCCAGCAGGUGAUAGAUACACGCACAGCUCGCGACGACGACGAGCCGGCGGUGCAUGGCACGCACAUCCACAGGCAGGAUAGGCCUACGCUACGCAUUGCGGUACGCGACGGGACGGUGAAGUUGGCAGGGGACCAGCGGAAGCUGACGGAACCCCGUGCGUACGCACAUCACGCGCGGCUGGCAGAGUCAGCACACAAAGCGCCUGUUUAGAUCAAAGGAAUCUUACUAAUUUGAAGUACUAAAUGAAUUCUAUUUACAAAACUUUUUGCAUAGAUGGGUUGUAAAUCACGAGACGAAUCUAAUAAUGCUAAUUAAUCCAUGAUUAAGCAAUAAUUAGCGGAUGGUUACUGUAGCAUCACUGUUGCAAAAACAUGGAUUAAGUAGGCUCAUUAGAUUCGUCUCGCGAUUUACAAGCCAUCCAUGCAAAAAGUUUUGUAAAUAGAUUUUAUUUAGUACUUCAAAUUAGUAAGAUUUCUUUGACAUCUUUGCGUUUACAGGUUUUUUGCAUUUUUGCAAAAUGAUCUAAACAGGCCCAAAGCUAACGAGCGGCAGGUUCAGGGAAAAAAAAUUAACGAGCGAUUUCUGGGCUCGUGUUUCUGGACUGGGCUGGGGUGUGCCGAAGCGACGCGGCCGAACGGCAAAAGGAAAAACUAACGGGCCAUGGCACGGACACCGAAGACGCGGGUCCAAACUGCGCCCGUGGGCGGAUCAGACCUCCUGGUCCUCACGGGCGCGCACGGGGACGAGGAGAGGUGAAGGGCCGUUCCGCGUCGUCGUUUGAGCGGCCCGACGCGGGCAGUUCGCCCGCUGCUGGACCGUUUGGGAGAGCGGCAGCGGGCUUGUGGGCUGAUGACAUCCGGCUUGAACUCGGCCUUGGAGCCCAAAAAGUCGGACACGUGUGGGCUUUUGGAGUUCAGGAUCUACCUCCCUCCCGUCCCGCGCCGUGUGCCCGUACGUGUCCACGUGUGACACCGGCAGCUCGAAUGCCCCAUGCCAACGACCAAAUAAACGGAACCUCUGCGUGCAAACGCAGUGAUGAGCCACUGCUUGUUUUACACGCAUGGUAGGUGGCGCUGCACCUGGCACCUGCUGUACGUACCCAGGCGUGCCAGGCCAGCCUGAUCUCCACGAGUGUCCCGUGGCCCGUGGACACGCCGAUAUGCGCGGCUCGAGCAAGGCGACGGAGGUUGCUGCGCCGCUACAGUGACGGUAGAGCGGACGGAGCCGGCACCUCGGCGCAUGCCUUUUACUGGAGUUGGUCACCAUGAUUUUUCCGCACCUACGUGCAUGUUCCUUGUCUCUGAAAAGAAAAGACACGGCGGAGCUUCUCGUAAUCUCACUUGACAGCUUGGCGUAUGCGUCUGCAGCAGUUGGUCACUAUUUUUUUUUCUUUGAAAAAAUCAGUUGGUCACUACUCCAGUAAUAAACUAUCGUCAUCGUUCUGGACUUCUGGUAACCCUGCUGUGCUGCUGCUGCGCUACAGGACGGUGGAGUUCACGAGCAUGCAGCAGCAGCCAACAGGGUUUUACUGCUGGGACAACUGGGAUUUUACUCCCUCAAGGAGCCCAAACAGCUAGUAAUUCACACCAACAGUGCUAACACAGCAGUUCUGCAAGGACCAGUUCAGGUAUUGAGUGUAUUGUAUGGACUAGAAAAAAGCCUGCACGUUGUAAAAUGUUACAGACGCAAUCUUAUCAAGUAUGAAAAUUAUAAUCCGCGCGAGGACACUGUCUUUGGCAUUGCAGAACUAGGUAUUUGCAGAACAAUAAAGAGAAGUAAGACAGGUAAACUACCACACAAAAUAUAAAAAUGGUGCAUGGAACCAACCCAGAUGGAUUUUACAGCUAGAGAAACGCCUCGCACUCUGUUUUCUUUUUUACACAGGAACGCAGAGUCACAACCAGACAACCCAUCAACAUCAGAAAGAACCCAACAAAGAAACAACGGAACACACGGACUACAUCUAAACAGUACAAAACACGGUGCCAGAUUGCCAGCAGUGCGCCGGCGGCAACCUCUCUCUGGCUGCUCUCGGCCGGGGAACACCGAACACGCCGCACCGGCCGGCCAUCCCCCAGCCGCCGGCCGUGCGCCGCCUCUCACGGGCACUUGUUGGUCCUGUUGCCGUGCGUGGUCCAGUCCGUGUAGCACUUGCCGCAGGUCUCCUGGUUGCCGGCCGUGCCCGCCGGCACGCAGCGGCAGACGCUGCAGCACUUGAGGCACGCCCGGGCGCACCGGUUCUUGUGCGAUUGCGCGCCGCACCGCACGUCGCAGGCGCCCCCGCAGUCUGUGACCAUAGAAAUGUUACAGGAGUGAAGCGACGCCAAGAACAAACAAGCAGCGUGAACGCAGAGAGGACUGUGCGCCAGCGGCGCGUGCGUACCUUUGGCGGGGUCGACGAUCUGGUGCGGCGGAGGCCCGACGGGAGGCGCCGGCGGGUAGCCGCCGCCCGGAGCAGCCUGGCCAAGAUACGCCCGGAGAGCUCAGAGCAAAACCAGCGAGGGGAGCAAGAAUGCAUGCUUGAGCUGAAUCCAUUUGGUUACCUUGCUGUUGCUGUUGCUGAGCAGGAGGAGAGUCGCCACCAAGGCGACGGCCACCGCGAGCUUGCUGGGCGCCAUCGACGCCGGCCGGAGCCUGGACUAGAGCUUUCUUGAGAGCUGUGGAGAGGCUUCCAGUUCCAGCCUGUUGCUUCUUGGCGGCUUGGCGGGGCUGGUCAGUAGUGAUGGUUAAGUAGACGCGGAGUGGAGGUGGGACUGUGGGAGUGUAGUGUGCUGGCAUGCCGCUGCUGUGGAGGUGAUGAUGCCGUGACGGGGCGCGUCAGGGUGUGUGACCACUGUCCACUGACCACGGUCGCGGGUCAAUGCGCCAGGUUGGCGCCGGGGUAGGGCGCAGGUAAAUGGGCUUUGUCCGGCGACGCCUCAUCCAAUCGCCUUGACACGUAGUACCGGCGUCAGUUGAUACAGCGGAGUAAAUGGGCUUUGUCCCCAUCACGGGGCGCCACACCCUUGCUCAGCAACAUGAAAUUUGCAGAGAUUUUAAAGAAAGACGGCUCAAAAUCGUCUCGUAUAUAUCCAAAAAAAAAUCCACCAAGGAAAGCACAUGGCAUUGCUUGCUCGGGGUCGUGACUCGGGAACCAUUUUUCUCCCGAUGGUCUUGAGACGAGCGGCCGCUUCUUCAAUCCGGUGCGGCGCCUCCCUGCCUCUGUACGAUGCUGUAACUGUAGUCGACGAAAAUGAUCUUAAAUGCCACUGCACCCGCAGUACGGUUGGACCUGUGCGCCGCGCUGGGGCCUUUUGCACACGCACGGUGGCGCGGUGCACGGCACGGCGUCAGGCUAGGCAAGGCCGUGCGUGACCCGUGAGGGUGGGGGUGGGUAGGCUUUGCGCUGCGACGCUGAGCUGCAGUCCACCACCGAGGGCGUGCGCUGCACUCGGCGCUGCCCCGGCCCGCUGUCGUGUGGCCUGUGGGCGAGCGAGCCGCCCGGUGCCUGCUCUGCCAACGAGCUCCCCACGCGUCGCUAGGCUUUGUCGGAUCAGGUUCAGGGUCAGGUCCACAGCAGGCUCGAGCGGGAACAGCUAGAGCUAGCUGCUCAUGCGGUCGUGCCAAAGAACCGGUCCCGGUGGCCCGUGGAAAGAGGGAAUCUUUAGGGGCCGGAGACGGGCCCAGUGUCAGGCGCCCCUGUCGUCGUUUGCGCUGUAACGGGCCAUCCAGAGAGAGAUGGGCCGGGAAUGCUCAUUUUUCGUCUGCCUCUGACCUUGUAUUAUGAUGGGCCAACAUUGUCAUCCUGGGUCCAAGUCUAACCCAACCAGAAAUUGUUCGGCAUCUCCAGCAAUUUCUGUCCCCUUUUCAGCCUUUUCUAUCCCCGGUUACCAUUUGUUCCUCAUGUUGAAUAUCCUCAUUGGAUACAAUCAUUUGAUUCUAAUAUUUCAUAUUUUAUUUGUUUUUACAAUAAUGUAUUCCUGAUUAUCAACAUUUUAUUCAUCAUAUAUAAUUAUUUAUUCAUAUAAUCACUUUUUAUUGUUUGUUCUAUACAACCAAAUAUUCAUGAUAUUUAAUAUUUGGUUCAUAAUAUACUACUCCCUCCGUCCCUAAAAGAAUACAACUCUCGCUUCUCGAUGAGUCAAAUAAUUUUAAAGUUGACCAAAUUUAUACAAAAUAGUAUUAACAUUUAGAUUACAGAAUAUGUAUCAUUAGAUUAAUCAUGUAAUAUAUUUUCAUACGAAAUCUAUUUGAAGAUAUAAAUGUUAGUGAAUUUUUAUAUAAAUUUGAUCAAACUUAAAAUUAUUUGACUUCUUGGGAAGCGAGAGUUGCAUUAGGAAGUAUUAUUUUAUGCAACAUGUUUAUUUAUUUAUUCAUAGGAAACAAUCAUUUAUUUCUGAUGUUCAAGCAUUUGUUCUUAAGAAAUAGUAUCUAAACACACAUGUGGUGUUGCUUUGAAGACCUUGCCCUAAGAAAUAUAACGGUGCAGUCAAACUUUAAUUUAGAUGCAGAAUUUAGGAUCUAUGAUUUAGUUUUAAUUUUGAAUUUGCAAGCAUUAUCAACCUUGUCUUUUAUUACAUGCAUGUACCAAUAGAGAUGGCAUCGGGCACGCGUUCGCUGGCUAUUGUUUGCCCAUACACGUGCCUGUCAGGAUAAAAUACACCCGCUAAGAAACCCAUAUCCGCUACUGGGUACAGAUUAUGUCCCAAAUCCGUACCCGCACGGGUGGCGGGUACCCGCCGGCUACCCGUGCCCGCCAAUCUGUUAAGUACUCAACCACUCAGAUAUAUCAGCCAAUAGACACAUACAUAAAACGGAGGCAAUAAUACAUGAUAAACAUCAUCAACCAUAAGACUGAUAGAGUGUUUCACAAAUCAUAACACCAUUGAUCACAUCAGACAUCACAAGUUUAUAGCUAGAUUAAUAUCCAGUUACUGUCCACCAUCCCUAGCAUGGCACCACUAGUUCACUACUACAUUAGAUAUCAAAGUUUCAAAAUAAAGUUGUAGGACCAUAAUUAUAUUAUGUCGGGUUUAAAAAACCUGUGGGUUUGCGGGUUCGGAUGCUACGAUCCUAUACCCGUGACCACUGGGUACACCCGCGUACCCGCUGGAUACAGAUUAUCACCCAUUAAAAAAUCCACAUAUAUAGAUAUUAGUCCGUACCCGUACUCUAAUAGAGUAAAAACCCGCCGGGUUUCGGGUAUCAGGUACCUAUUACUAGUACCGUAUCAUCAUGGCGGGCUCACAGACACAACGGCGACGGCGCGUCUGGCCACGCCGGAAACUCGAACGUUGCCCCGCCUCCAUGCCGCACGCUCCGGUGCCAAUGAUGUGACCACAAGCCGGUCUGUGUUUGCAUUCUCGAGAUACAGUAAUCUGUGAUCAGGCCAUGAAUGAGUAUUAGUUCUGCGCAAUAGGAGUAUUGCUCAGCCGGGGCCGGGGUCCGUACGCCCUUGCGAAGUCAUUGGUCCCAUCUGCGGGAAAUUUCUGGGACACGUAUGUCUGACCAAUCUUUUUUUUUUUUGAAUCAGACAAGGGCAUCUAGCGAAGAAACAGGGCAAGUGUGACACUUGCAAUUUCAUAUAGUAUUGCGACAAUCAAGAAAUCUAAUGCUACACCGCUACUUGACUACUAUCUUAAAGCAUAGGAGUUUGAGCAGAUGUUGUCAAACAAGGGCAUCUAGCCCGGGUCACCCAGGUUCCAGCAUCCAGCUAGUGCAAGCACUGAAGAAAAACAGAACGGAGAGCUAGUCAUUGAAGAAGGAAAACAGAACGUAGUGUUUGUCAUGGUUUGAUGAAAGCAGCUAGUGCAGGCACCGAGUACUCUGUGCUCUUAUGCACUCUCAGUUUAACUUUUUAAGUGAAACUUAUACUGAGCCAGCGCUUUGAUUUUGCUGUCCUAGAUUGAAAACAUCAAUGAAUAAAAUAGGAGUACCAAAUAAUCUGAUUAAUGAUUCCUACUGGUCCACAGUUUAACUAUUGUAACCAUUGAAGUUGGUGUAAACAUCCCGCUCCCUUGAUUCUAGGGAGAAAAUAAAAAGGAGGUAGACAAACUAUACCAUGUACUCGGAUCCCUUCCAUCACAAAAUGUAAAUAUUUUAGCUUUAAAAAAAUGUAAAUAUUUGCCUUACUUUCUCCUAUGUCAAACAAUAAUAGGUUUGACCAAGUUUAUAGAAUGAAUAAUAAUAUUUAUGACAUCAGAUGAGUACCAUAUUAGAUAUAUUAUAAAAUAUACUUUUACAAUUUAAUUCUUUGAUGUGGUAUAUGUUAAUUGUUUUCUUUAUAAAAUUGAUAAAACUUGGAAUAUUUUGAUUUAGAACAAACUUAUAAGUGAUUAUAUUUUUGGACACAGAAGAAAAUUAACGAAGAAAUGCACAUUUGUCUAUGCAGACACAGUUUCCAGGGGCAUCAAUGGCUCCGAGUCCCAGCAAGUUUGCAAUGAAUUAUUUACCAUGAACAAAUAAAAUAAAUGAAGAAAUGCACAUUUGUCGAGAAUCACCGACGUCUCCAGCAAGUUUAGAACCUACAAUAAGAUAGCGACUUCUUUACCAUGAUGCAACUUAGAGGCUAGGACCUUAGCCCUUAACCAUGGCCAUGGACAAGGAAAGCCCAUCUCUAUCAAAUCUCCAUGGACGAAGCCACAUCAGAACAUCCACCCAUGUAUUUCCUGGUGGAAGAAACACACUAGCGCUGGUACUCACAACAGGGUUAUUCGUCCUCCUCUUCUCAACACAUCAUCCUGCGACUUUCUACCACUAUCCUAUGCCAACAGACAUCUCUCCUCAGGAGACGAAAAUCGGUAAGCCUCUACUGAACAACAUAUAUCUAUCUGCUCUUUACUGACCAGCAUAUAUUUAUCUGCUCUUUCUUCUUCAUGCAAAAGUGUCCCUUUCGUUUUCCUUUUCUUUUUCUGAAGCUUACUGGAUCUUUCUUCGUUUCCAAUAUGAUAUAGCUGGGCAUGAGAUCCCAGCUCAAUAUUGUACAUCGAGUUAAGAUUUAUCAAAGAUUAGAUAAUAUGCUUACAAUGCCUGUGAUUUCAAAAGCAUAUGUAGCCUGGCUAUCUCUGCAAAUUCAAAUGGCUUCUUUUGCCCAGAUAAUCUGUAUAUAAUGUUCCAGAGGCAUUUGGACCUUGUAAUGUUCUGCAUCUCAGAUUAGUUGAUGAAAAUGGGGCAUGUGCAAAAAGAAAAAAAAUCAAGACAUUAUAAAAACGCAGGUAAAAAACAUGAACAAACAAAGUAAAAUAGAUCCCUUUGCCUCCAAAAUUCGACCCAGUGCAUGAUAAUCAAAUGUAGUAGGUUGGCAAUAACUAGCGUUUCCUUAUAGUUUCACAAACAGCGUCUCUGCCAAAGAAUUUUGUAAAAGAGGUAAUUUUGCUCUGCUUUUUAGGUUAUGAAGACAAAGUUUGCAAUCUGUUCAAUGGCUCAUGGAUCAGGGAUUUCAGAGGCCCCAUUUAUACCAACUUUACAUGCCCAACGAUGCCAGACUCAAAAAACUGCGGAAAGUAUGGAAAGCAAAUGGAUUAUGUAAACUGGAAGUGGGUGCCACAUGGUUGUGACAUGGUAAGGUUUGAGCCUCAGCUGUUCUUGAAUAUUGUCCGAGGGAAGACAAUGGCGUUCGCUGCAGAUUCAAUUGGACGGAACCAGAUGGAGUCACUACUUUGUUUACUGUCUCAGGUGAGUAACCUUUGUUUUAGUUCUGCAAGAUGUUAAUAACAUGUUUUAGUUUUUUAUAUAACAUGUACCCUUAUUACCAGUGACAGAUUUGCACAGUAUAUAUGAUAGACCCAAUGUUCUUGGACAACAUUAUCAGUGGGACCCUCAAUAAAAAGUUUCCCCAGUCUGUUUCCUAGUUUGCUACAGAUUUCCUUGCCUCUCUUCUUCUAGGAAACGUUAAGGAAACAAGCACAAGAAAGCCAUUUGGGUGAAAAUUCAGUUCCAUCAUAUCAAUUAGGCAAUCCUAACAUCUACAGAUCUUUACAAAUCCUCAUGCCCACAUUCAUACAGUUGAGCGAUCCAGAUGAUACUAAUAGGCCAAAGUGGCUCAAGGCCUGAUUUUGCAUAUGUGAUAACCUAAAAUCACAUGACAUUAACUCCCAUGGUGUCAUUGAUUUAGUGUGGGCAUGAUAAGCUACCUUACCUUCAUGCUGCAGAAAAUUUAUGAUCGGCUAUCUAUAUCGAACAAUUUUUUUCUAAAGAAAUAUCGAAUGAACUCUCAGAGGAACUCUACUUUAUUUACCUUACAUCUGUAGCAAACUUUAUCUCCUGUUGUUGUGAAAUUCAGAAAUUAUGAUAAGAGAAUCUAACUCAAACCCUAUAAAACACUGCAGGUGGAAACUCCAAUCAAAGUUUAUAGUGACACUAAAGAUAAAUUUGUCACUUGGCACUUCAAAUCCCACAAUUUUACACUCAUGGCACUGUGGACCAAAUUUCUUGUAGAAGCAUCAGAAAGAGAGAUCAAUGGCACAGAGGUUGAAAUGCAUGACAUACACCUGGAUAAACUUGAUGCAAGAUUAGCUGCAAACUUACAUGAGAUCAAUAUUUUAGUCAUAUCGAGUUCCCGAUGGUUCUUCAGGAAGAAUUAUCUCUAUGAAGGUGGGAAACUCAUUGGAUGCAUAUACUGCUCGGAGGAUAACAUCACAAGCAUUGAUGUCAUUACAGCUAUUCAGAGGGCGCUUAGAACGGCCCUUGGUAACUUGACCAAUUGCCAAGAAUGUGGACUGCAGUUAACAUUAGUAAGAACAGCAACACCAGCACAUUUUGAAAAUGGUUUCUGGAAUUCUGGAGGAUAUUGCAAUAGAACUGAACCAGUGGAAAAAGGAGAAGCAAUGACCAGGACAGUUGAGUGGGCAAUAAGAAACGCGCAGGUUGAGGAAGCUAACAGAGCACAAAAUGGAAGCAGACACAAGGGACAGAUGAACCUAGAGAUUCUAGAUAUUACCGAAGCUAUGUCUAUGAGACCUGAUGCACACCCAGGGAUCCAUUGGAAUAACAAGUGGAUGAGGGGUUACAGUGACUGUUCCCAUUGGUGUUUGCCAGGACCGAUAGAUACGUGGAACGAGCUAUUACUCUCUGUGCUUAAGAAAUAUGGGAAAGAGUUGCAGAAUCAUCAAUGAUGCAAAAUGACAAAUCGAAGUACAUUAGCAUGUUAAACUAGCCAAGCCUAAUUUUUAGCGGCUGGGAGGUCUUCUCGCUAAUGUUAGUGAGGCCUUUUGCCAAUUAAAGGUCACGACAGGUUUCUAUUUCUUUUCUUACAUCAAACUCAAGCCUUCUGUUAUGUAGCAGAAGUUUUUAAAUAAUUUAAUGAUCUGAUUAGCAGAGUAGUAUAUUUUCUGAAAACAUGAAAAACUUAGCCUACUCUUAUUCAAUUUUUCAUCAAUUCGAUCCAUAUGUAGUGAAGUAACUUCCACUCACUGAUUGUAUGGGCUAUAACACCGAAUCAUGAUAUGUUACAAACGAUUAAACUGUGAACUCAUGCUCAUGAGAUUAGUGAGCGUAUGGGCUAUAUUAUUGAAUCAACAUUCGUUACAAGCAUUGUCAACUCAUUUUUAACUAAAUAAUUUUGUGAUAGCCAAUUAACGAAUGACAAUUGAUUUUUCUCAAGCUAUACACCAGUGAAAAUAUGUGACAAACAGAACCGUACAUUUAUACACAAAAUUCAACCUCAUGUGUACCUGUUGAUCCUGUUGAACGUUUAGCGUGUCAAAAUAUUAUCAUCGAAGUCUUUGGUUGAAGACUCAACAACUGAAGCUUGGGGUAAUUCCUUGCUCAUCAAAUACUUCCGCUUUUGAAGGCUCAGCCAAACCAAAAUACUGUCAGUCUCGACAAUGUUAUAUCCAGAUUUCCUGUACAUGUUGAAUGGCACUUGAUCGAUAAUUCUACAGUGAAGAUAUACACGUCUUUUUGCAUCCAUUUUGAUGACCAAAUCCUCACAUGCCUUAAGAAGUUGUUUUCCGAUUCCUCUCCUAUGGGGAAAAACAAGGCAGACUUUAGAAAGUACUACAAUCGACAAAAUUAAACAAACAUAGAUGAACAAACAACUUGAUAUGGCAUUUUUCAACCAACAUAUUAUCUAACUCAUACAAACAUUCUGCGUCAUGCACCAGAAGGUUUCUUCUGUUGCUUCCGUCAUGCGUGACAAGAUAUUUCUUACAGCACAUUAUAGAAGUUACAACUAACAAGGAAGCACCAUUUGCAGCCAACUCUUGCAUCAAACUUAUUUUCCAGAAGAAAUAGGCAAAUUGGUUGCCCGGUAAAGAGCACUAUAAAUCGUAAUGCUAUCAAUUACCUCCUCAAUGCCGUCUUCACAGUCAUGUUACAGAUGUACGGGAAGUCGAGCGGCGGGGUGGGCGUGGGCGGGGCCCCGGGCGCGCCCACCGCGUCGAACGACACCUCCGCCGUGCACGCCAUCUCCCCUUCAUCUUUACCCGCCCCAUCUUCGCUGCCCUCAUCUACGUCAUCCUCCGUGGCGCCGGCCGCGUCGGCGGGGCGGUAGAACCCCACGAGCACCGCGGCGUGCGGCGCGAGCCCGCGGCGCUCGUGGAGGUACCUGCGGAUGACGAACGUGAGGAGCUGCGCGUAGCGCUGGGCCGGGGCCCACCGGACGGUCUCGGAGAACGAGGAGGCCAGGAGGCGGACGAGCGCCUCGGCCACGGCGUCGUCUUCGGGGCCGCGGGUGAGGGCGCGCACGGUGAGGAGGCCGUGCGGGAAGACGUGCUCGUAGCGGAAGGCCGCGAGCUCGUCGAGCUGCGAGAGCGCGCGCGGCGAUAGGAAGACGCCGGGGCCCGGGCUGCCGCCAGGGGAGGGGGCGGCGGCCGGAGGUGCAAGCCGGAUGUGGCGCGGCGUGGGGCAACGGGAGAAGAGGAGGUGGGCGUGCCUGGAGACGGCGGGAGUUAGCGAGAGGAGGGCGGGCGACGCCGCCAUCGGGGAUGCCGAUGCCAGCGCGGAGCAGAAGGGGGCAGGCCGGGAACUCGAGGGGCGAUUUUUUCUUUUGGAUUUCCUAAGCGGCUUACGUGGAUAAACGUCAAACUUUUCCUUUUAAACGGCUUGUGGGCGACUGACUGACAUGUGUGUGCCGCUAGCCUAAAGAUGAGACUUUGGGCCGGGCUCUUUAUACGUUGCCUGCAACGAUAGUCUUUGGCCCAAACUGGAACGAGAAAUCACACAUGCCAACUUUUGUGAAAAAUUUUCUUACAUAAUUUUGUGCCAUAGUAGAUGGGUGGCUCAAAUUACAUCAGGAAGUAAGUUGAUAAAUCAAAACUUGUAAAACAUCGAAUUAGUUUAUCAGAAAUGUUGAGUGUCGAAAUGUGAUAACGGUUUGGUGGACUGUUGAAUUAAAUUUUAAAAAGGUAUUAAAACACGGCGGGCUAAAUGGGUCUACUCGCUUAACAAGCAUUGGGAAGCUACAUAGAAAUCACCAUUGGAAAUGCAUGAACUCGAGAGAUUAGAGUCCAUAACUCGGAAGUUAAUAUACGUUGUCAAAUCCGCAACUUUAUUCGGAUGACCUCUACCCCCAUCAUAAAACCUGUUCUUCCUCUUAGCACAUGCCAGCCCUCCUUUAUGUCAUCUAUUGAGUUUCGGAAUGUUAGACUAGAAUAUUGUUGUUGUGAUCGGGGAGGGCCGUUAGGGUUGAUGCUUUAGUUUAGGAGUUGCCAAGAGGGCCUCCUCUCCCAAUGGGUCUACAGGAGGGCAAAAGAAGGUCAUCUAGCCCAAUGGGCAGACCAAAUGCGAGGUGAUAGAGAGGUGACAAUCAAGGGUGGCCCGACGAUGGUGUGGCGAGGUGGGCUAAAAAUUACCGGCAUUAAAAUGGGUGAAAAGUUGCAUGUAUUCAAGAAGUUGAAGAUGGUGAUGAUGUGUGUCCGGGAUCAGUUGAUGGAUAGAACCCCUUGAUAAAUCUUGUUACAACAGCUAGCUAUGGCAUGUCACAAUGACAUUUGUGGUUCCAACUUGAAUUUUUAUGAGGCGGACUAAAGGGAAAGAAGAAUCCCCUCUCAAUCCUUUUUUUUAAUUUGUCUUUCCUCUUAGUAUCCCUCACCAUGUGUUUGGUUGGGGAUAAUUGGUGCAAGGGAGGGGUGUUAUAUAGAGGCUUAAAUCUCUCUUGUUUAUUUGUUAGGAGUGUGAGUUUUGGUAGGAUGGGAAAUGAGAAUUUAGACUCUCAAGGGUCAACUCUCACCAGUCACUUCCAAAGUAGGGUGAAAAUUUGACGAAUUUUUGCUUCAAGUGGAAGUUGAAUGCAUAUCUACCUUUUAUCAUGACUUAUAAUAAUGCAAUUUCCCAUUUCAAAACUCAUACACCAAACAGAUGUCUAAAUCCCCCCCUCUUAAUAUGAUAUUCCCUUCAUGAACCAAAUAAAUGACUGUGAUAUUAAUUCUCUCAGUCGAUGCACACCACUUACUAUGUCUCUUUCGCUGCCAGACGCACCCUCGAUUCCUUUUGUCACAUGGUAAGGUUUGAGACAAAGAGAUAAGUUAACAUGCAGCGAUGCAAAAGAAAAAAAUAUAACUUCGUGAACAAAACAUUGUGGAAGCAGAAGCAAUAUGCAGCACAAUCGCCACACCAGAGCACGAAGAUGCGUGGCGCUGCCGUGCAAGCAGCACGAGCAACCCAGGAGUCAGCAGCUGCCUCGUGCUCCUGUCUGCUGGACAGAAGGGCCCUCCUCUCUCUUUGCUCCGAACGUUUCCUCUUCACAAACCAUAUCGAUCGGUUGAUGAUGUUCAGACCACCAGACCAAUCUCAUCUCGAGCACCGAAGCUGCCAACAAAAUGAAUCUGCAUCAACAACCUUUUCCGGCUUGGCCGGACGCAUAACUCACGCCCUGAACGGCUCGCCGUUGCAGUUGGCUUGGCACCCGUCGCUGUCCCUUUGUCGCGUCUGAAUAAGCCCUGCAUUCUGAUGAUCUGAUCAGAUCAGAGGACAAUUUUGCCGCUGCUCCUGAACCAUGGCAGACGCUUUACUGUUUCAACCAAAAACCGAACAAUUAAACCGGCGCCCUUUUGGCAACUGCGAACCAGAUCACUCAAUUCCUGUCCGGCCUCAUCCAUGUUUUCUUCCGGCCGGACCAAAGAAUUCCUCCAAUUACUCCGAUCCAACCUGUGCAUUGCAUUGCAGCCAGCCGGUCUCACCAUUCAAUUUCCUCUGAAAAAGAAGUCUCGCAGUUCAACGAGAACACGGCCCGAGCAUGUUACCGUCAUCAAUCGGCAACCAGAGUCGCUGCACGGCGUGGAUCUGCACCGACGGACGCUAUAAAUUCGAGCCUGCGAAAGGUGGUUGGAUCUCGCCGGAAAACCUUCAAUUGCCGGCAGCAGUAGCAGCGAGCGGCUGCUCUGAAGUCUGAAGAACAGCAGUCAGUCACGGUCAGAGCUGGUGUCUCGGUUGGCUAGCAGCUCUAUAUAAAGGCCGGGCCGAGGUCUCGCCAAUCUCCAGGCCACGAGCUAGAGCAUCGCCACCCACACUACACAGCUCGUAGCACGGGAGUAGGCAGAGCUCAGGUGCUAGCCAGCUAGCUAGGAUGGCGUCCAAGGCCGAGCUGGUGGUGGAGGUGAAGUCCCCGGCGGACAAGCUGUGGGCGGCGCUGCGCGACUCCACGGAGCUGUUCCCCAAGAUCUUCCCCCAGCAGUACGAGAGCAUCGAGACCGUCGAGGGCGACGGCAAGUCUGCCGGCACCGUCCGCCUCCUCAAGUACACCGAGGGUGCGUAUAUAUCGCGUAACGCCUAGCUCCGACGUGCGUGUCGAUCUCCAGGCCUGCCGCCGACGGGAUGUUGCUGCUGGUGCAGGGGUGCCGAUGCUGACGUUCGCCAAGGAGAAGCUGGAGCUGGCGGACGACGAGAACAAGGUGGUGGCGUACAGCGUGGUGGACGGCGAGCUGGUGAACUUCUACAAGAACUUCAAGAUCACGCUCAAGGUGUCCCCCGCCAAGGAGGGCGAGGCCGGCGCCGUCGUCAACUGGUCCAUGGAGUUCGACAAGGCCAACGACCAGGUGCCCGACCCUGACGUCAUCAAGGAGACCGCCACCAAGACGUUCCACGACCUCGACGACUACCUCCUCAAGAACUAGGCGGCGGGGGGUCGUCCACCCGCUGAGGCAUCGGCGAUCGGUCGCAUUCAGUCGUUUAGCACGCUAGUGCAUGUCGCUGGUGGUGGUGUCCGAGUCCGUGUUCGAGUUGGUGUGGUAGCUACGGCGGGUCGUGUCCUUGAACUGUCUCCGGUUGAUGUUGCUGCAGCGAUCAUGUGCGUCUGCACUCUGCAGGUUGCAAUUAGUCCCAGUCAAUAAAGCUGUUCGUGUUCAUUGUGCACUCGAUGCUAUCAUCAGUUGCUUCAGACUUUAUUGUGCACUCGAUGCUAUCAUCAGCUGCUUCAGACUUUCUGGCCUUAACAGAGUUGGAACGCGAGACCAUUUCUCUAGGUCUUCCAGAUUAUGUUGCAAGAACUGAUUGUUAUACACGGAGAAGAUAUCGCACAGAGAAGAGGCCUAGGCACUGGGCCAAAAGAGGAGUAGAGGACACCGCCGAACGCUAGGAACGCGGACAGAGCGCGGUCACCGCGACAAGGGCACGCAGCGCGCAGCGCGUGGUCACCACAGAAACACUGCGCCCCACGGCCGCGCGUGCAGCAGACCCAGCCACCACCGGGGCGCGCGCACUGGCGCGUACUCCUACACGCGAAGACCGGGCCGGAGCCUUACCGCACCGCGCCACCGAGCCGCGACGCGCAGAGAGCGGGCGUGCACGAGCGCAAGACCACCACGGCCACCGGGGAUGCCAACGCGCACACGCGCCGCUGGCCGUGGCCGAGGAGCCGCCGCACGGGCAAGGCCGCGGUGGACCACCAGACGGUAUUAUCAUCCACCAGGUACUUUGUCAGACGAAGGAUUCAAGCUAGUAUGUCUCCCACCGCCUGUACUGCUUUCAGCGUCACGCGCUGCAUCUGCUUGUGGCCACCGGCAAGUGUUAUGGUCUCGAUCCUCCUAGGGUUGGUACUCAUCAUUGUGACUCAGUCGUCACGGCAGCGGCAGCAAUGUGAUUUGAAGUCAGGGUAGUACUCUGUACUCCGUAGAAUACAGCGCCGGCAUGGCCGCAAUUACCAUCAGUCCGUUGCAGACGGUGUUCAUGGAUGGCACGCAGCUCUCUGCUCUCAGCGCAUCAUAGCGACGUAGGGACAGGGGCGAGGCUUGGCACGGCGGCAGUGGCUGGACCGCUGGAGUAGCCUCACAAAGUUUCAGCCUUUCAGGGUCCAUGGAGUUGAGGAAUAUAGAGAAGCGAUACUUGGAAACGGUUUUAACUCGGAUGGGAUGAGACUGUUUCUGCAUUCUCGGACCUACGACGUUUCUAAUGGCACAACGCCAGAAUUCCACAUGAUGAUUAGGCUUGUUGCAAAGCUUAAGUUGCUUUUUCUCUUUUUAUUUUUUUAAAAAAAUCAUGAGAAAUUUUUUCCACAAAGUUUUGUUAAAAAGCUUUUAGAAUUUUUUUUUCAUAUUUUUUAGAAAGCAUGUUUUAAGUGUUUUGGAAAAUUAGUUUGUGAAAGUCUAUAUGAAAAUAAAGCUCUCUUUAAAAGUACCAUGCUCAUGCAUGUGGACCCACAUCACCUUUUUAUAGAAAGUUUUUUUGGACUAUGUGCUAGAGCUCUUCUCUAGAGUGCACUAAAAAUCAACCUAAUAGUUAAAUAUAAUUAUAUUGACUAAUAUAAUCUACAAAUAUUUUUAAAAUCAGCAAAUAGAGAUGCUUUCUAGUUUCUAGUUCCAAUGGAUAGUAAAUUCUACUUCAUUUUCAUGCUAGUGAAUUCUGACCACACACAAAUUAGUUAUAACUCUUACAUUCUAUAAAAUAUAUUUGGAACAGCAUGAAUGGAAUAUGAGCAUUUAUUUAUUCGGACAUAAUUUAUGUGGUAUUUGGCUUGUUCUACUCACAAUGUAUUAUUCAUGUAAUCUAACAAUAAAUUUUUGUACAUCUAUCUUUAGUUUUUACCAUUGUAAAAUAACUAAGCAGGACCUAAUAGGAAUGAUUAAAUUCAGAGGAAUCUUUUGCCGUCCCUUUUGCCCACAAAACCCCCUCUUUUCACUUUUCAGGCUGCAACACAAAAACCCCCGGCCGUGACAUCGCCGGAAUCCCGGCCCUCACUGACCCCCGCCGCUAUGUCUACGUUAGUGGCGGCGGCGGCGGCUCCCGCGCCGGGCGCCACGGCCACGGUGCGGGUAUCCAACAUCCCGCCCUCGGCCAUCGCCGCCGAGCUCCUUGCCUUCUUCGACUCCGCUGUCGCCACCGGCGCGGCAUUCGCAUGCGAGAUCGCCGCCGCCCACCGCGGCUGGCUCAGCCGCGGCCACGGCUCCGUCCAAUUCGAAUCCGCCGCCGCAGCCACCCGUGCAAUCGACCUCGCGUCCUCCGGCGGCCUUCCUCCCUUCCUCGGCUCCCACCUCUCUGUCUCCCCCGCCCACGUCGACCUCCUGCCCCGCGCGCCCGAUUUCGCCCUCCGCGCCCUCGGCUCGAGCCUCGUUAUAGGCAACCGCGUAGCCGAGCGCGAGCUGGAGGUGGCCUACACCUGGGACGGCGUGCGCGCCGAGGUCAUCCCAGGGAAGCGGCGCGUGGACCUGUACCUGAAACAUGAUUCCCGGAGCUACAAGCUUGAGGUUCUCUUCGAGGACAUCAGGGAGUGCUUCGGGUGCAGCUUUGAUGGGGCGGGCGCUAUCUUGCUGCUGGUGAGCUGAUGAUACCGUUCUAUUAGAUGCGAAAGUUCCAAAACUUCGUUGCUUCCGUAUGUGAGCUGAAGUGUGAGUGUGCGACCUGAUUAUUUGUUUCGAAUUAAUACAUGACAUGCUACAUGCAGAUAUCUGAUUGACAUGCACUGUUAUCAAUCCUUAUUUUCACCCCGUAGCCAGGAGAAUGACCGAGUGAUUGUGAUAGAAUUAGCUCAAUAUGCACAUUGUUGAAAGUCAGCAAGUGAAUCUACAGACAUUGGACCUCAAAUUUAGUAACAUCCUAGAAGAAUGAGAUCAUCACAGACUCGCGUGGCACAGAAGGGAUGAUUUUGCAGUCUUCUAUGGCCACUAUAGUGUAUAUUGUGUAGCAGCGUCCAAAACAAACACAUUCUAGGUUAUCAUAUGAUCCAUUUAUUGCAUAUUCUAACCAUUUCAAUUUUCAAUUACAGCUCAAAGACUUGAGAUAUGCACAAUAAAUGUAACCCUCAUACAGGAUAAUGCAUUUUACUUGAAACUGACAAUUAACUUCAUAUUUGUGCAACCACAGUGGGGUUUCCUCUGCGUGUUAUUUCAAGUAUUUCUUGGAGCCGAUCACUUAAUUUUUUAUUGGGAGGGGAACUGUUUAAGCUUUUUUCCCUUGUAGACUUUUCCAAAUGAAUAUUCUUCAUUCUUUACUAUUAAUAUUAAGCUGCCCUGGUGAAUACAUAAUAUCUGCAGGAUAUAGAUUUAAUGCUUCUCAUAUUUCUAGAUUAUCAGUUUGUUUCAGAUACAAAUAUUAUUUGGGCCUCCUUUUAAUGGAUCUGAAGCUUGUUUGAUAAAUAAAUAUUAUGCUUGUUUCAGCUGACUUAUGCACCAAGAAUCCACACCACAAUUUCUGGGUCUACAAUUAAAUCAAGGUUCACAGAUGAGCGUUUUCAUGCAUGCAAGGAGGAUGCCAAGUUUGCAUGGGUCAGAGCACUAGAUUUUACACCUAAUAGCUCUUUUGGGGAGUGUUCCACACUUGUGUUGAAACUGAGCAAAGCUGCACCAGUGUCUGAUAUUCUUGAAAGUUUACCCUUCUCAGGAGAAUUAGGGGAACUGACCAUUUCUUCGAUGGAUAUGUUUGGUUCCUCCUCCAAAGUAGUUCCUCUUGUUGAUUGCCCAAGUGGCUUUUCAGUACCUUACGAAGUUCUUUUUCGUCUGAACUCUCUUGUUCACAUGGGGAAGUUAGUGGCCAGGCAUGUAAAUGCUGAUCUGUUUAAGGUCCUCGAAGAUCUACCAAUUGAUACUUUGAGGAGGAUAUUUGAGAAAAUGAGCAAAUUAAACUCUACCUGCUUUGAACCUUUGGAAUUCAUCAGACAUGAGGCUCAUAGCAUGAAGAUUAGUAAGAAAACCUUGCUGUCCAAGAAGGGUGAAGGUGAAGGAAAAUUGAUGAGAUGUUACAGAAUUCACAUCACACCAUCAAAAAUAUACUGUUUGGGGCCUGAGGAAGAAGUUUCAAAUUAUGUGGUUAAGUACCAUUCUGAGUAUGCUUCUGACUUUGCUAGAGUUACGUUCGUUGAUGAAGAUUGGAGUAAGCUUUCUCCCAAUGCAUUGUCAGCUAGAAUUGAACAAGGUUUCUUUUCUACACCCUUGAAAACUGGCUUGUACCAUCGAAUUCUCUCCAUUCUAAAAGAAGGAUUUCGCAUUGGCCCAAAGAAGUAUGAAUUUUUGGCCUUCUCAGCAAGUCAACUUCGUGGUAAUUCUGUUUGGAUGUUUGCUUCAAAUAAUUCUUUGAGCGCUGAGAGUAUAAGAAGGUGGAUGGGCCACUUCAAAGAUAUCCGUUCAGUCUCCAAAUGUGCAGCUCGAAUGGGUCAGCUGUUCAGCUCCUCCAGGCAGACAUUUGAAGUCUCAUCGUACGAUGUAGAAGUAAUUCCAGAUAUUGAAAUCACAACUGAUGGCACUAAGCACAUAUUUUCAGAUGGUAUUGGGAAGAUUUCUUCGAGAUUUGCCAGACAAAUUGCCAAAACAAUUGGAUUAGACCCUAAUAACCCUCCUUCUGCUUUUCAAAUACGGUAUGGUGGCUAUAAAGGAGUCAUUGCUGUUGACCCUACUUCCUUUUUCAAUCUUUCUCUGCGACCUAGUAUGAAGAAGUUUGAAUCAAAAAGCACUAUGCUGAACAUUACAAAUUGGAGCAAGUCUCAGCCAUGCUACGUGAAUCGUGAAAUUAUCUCUCUUCUUUCAACAUUGGGUAUAAAGGAUGAAGCAUUUUUGACAAUGCAACAAGAUGACAUGCACGAAUCAGAUGAAAUGCUAACAAACAAAGAAGUGGCUUUGUCUGUCCUAGGGAAAAUUAGUGGUGCAGAUACCAAGACAGCAGCUGAGAUGCUGCUGCAAGGCUAUGAACCAAGUUUGGAGCCCUACCUUUCAAUGAUUCUCAAAGCUCAUCGGGCUAAUAGGCUGACCGAUAUAAGAACCAGGUGUAAGAUUCAUGUCCAGAAAGGCCGUGUUCUUAUUGGUUGUUUGGAUGAAACAGGCAAAUUAGACUAUGGCCAAGUUUACAUCAGAAUUACAAAGAAUCGCAAGGAGCAAAAGUACAGUGAGCAGCCAUUCUUUUGUAACGAUGAUGGCAAGACAGCAGUAAUUGUUGGAAAAGUUGCAAUCUCUAAAAACCCAUGUCUCCAUCCUGGUGAUGUCAGAGUACUUGAAGCUAUAUAUGACCCUGGAUUGGAUGCUAGGGGCCUUAUUGAUUGUGUUGUAUUUCCUCAGAGAGGGGAAAGGUAUGUUAUUCUGAACCUGAAAGAUGACUAUCUUAGGUUGUGGAGUUCUAUUUCUUUGUCCAUGGCUGUGAUGCAUCCUGUCUCUUUACUGAAUCAAGACAUUGGUCUUUGCUAGCACUGUUACCCAUAUUCUGUUAAUUUCCAAUUAUGUAAUUGGCAAUUAACCAUUUAGAUUAAUGCUGUCAAUGUUUGCUUUAUCCUUACUUGAAAUCUUCAAAUUAAUUAGGCCUCAUCCAAAUGAAUGCUCGGGUGGUGAUUUGGAUGGCGAUCUCUUCUUUAUUACUUGGGAUGACAAACUGAUUCCAGAGAAGGUAGAUGCACCUAUGGACUAUACUGCAACAAGGCCACGCAUAAUGGACCAUGUUGUUACACUUGAGGUACUCCUGAGUAUAUGCUCUUUUCUUAGCUCAUUUUUCUUGAUUAUGUAAUACUGUGGUUGUUUUCCUGAAGUUUCCUUUGGCUAAUGCGGUAAUGCCAGAUUUUCCUGAAGUGUUUAUAUAUUGCUGCAUUUUUGUCUUGAGAUGAUGGGUUGAGGCAUUUUAGUGAUAUAGAUGGAGCUCAUUAACCUUUUCAUGUUUCUAAAGCUUUAUGUAUUUAGGGCAUUAACUUCACUAACACUGAUAGGGCAGUAACGAGCAUAUAGAACUGGCAGCUACCUUCAAAUUCUAAUCCAUCCAGAAUGAUACUAAGAUGGUAUGUGCAUCGGCAUGUAGAAGUAAUCAACGUAUUUGAAAAUACACCAAAAAAAGAAAUUUUUUGAAUGUUUUGAACCAGGUAUAUACUCAACAUGCACAUUUAAACAACUGCCCUUUUAUCAAAUUUUCCAUCUCGCAUGGUUAGUCUCACCUGAGUGAAAUGUUACAACAAGAACAUCUGAAAUGCAGGAAAUCCAGAAGCACUUCGUCAGUUACAUGAUAAAUGAUGCCCUGGGUGUUAUCUCCACUGCCCACUUGAUCCACGCAGACCGUGAUCCGCUGAAAGCUCGCAGCCCCGAGUGCCUCCAGCUGGCCGCUCUGCACUCCAUGGCGGUCGACUUUGCCAAGUCGGGUGCUCCAGCCGAGAUGCCCCGGGCGCUGAGGCCCCGGGAGUUCCCUGACUUCUUGGAACGCUGGGAGAAGCCAAUGUACAUCUCCAACGGCGUCCUCGGCAAGCUCUACCGUGCAGCCCUGCGCCACGCGGAGAACGCGGAGGCCCUUUUGCCUGAGGCCCCGCCCAGCUGCGCGUACGACCCGGACCUCGAGUGCCCCGGGUUCCACGACUUCCUGGACGCCGCGGAGGAGCACUACGAGGCGUACGCCGAGAGGCUGGGCACCCUGAUGACCUACUACUCGGCGGAGCGCGAGGACGAGAUCCUGACGGGCAACAUCCGGAUCAAGCUCGUGUACCUGCGGCGCGACAACAAGCGCUACUUCGAGAUGAAGGACCGGAUCAUCGCCGCCGUCGACGCGCUGCACGCGGAGGUGAGGGGGUGGCUCAGGGCGCACAGGGACGAGGAGGCGUCGAAGCUGGCGUCGGCGUGGUACCACGUGACGUACCACCCGGGCCGCCGCGGCGAGAAGCGGUUCUGGAGCUUCCCCUGGAUCGCUUGCGACACCCUGCUGGCGAUCAAGGCGGCCAGGAGGUGCCGCAAGCGGGUGGAAGACGCCGCCGCCGUGCCGAUGGACUGCGACGCCUAGAGGGAAGGGCCGCUGCGCGCUGCGCCGGUGAAGUGAAAUUGCGAUGUGAGUGGUUAACUGGACUCUGACCGUAAGCUAAUAAGAUGGACUGCCUUGUGUUGUAAAAAAAAUGUCGAGUGCAAGAUUGUAAAAAUGCUCUGGGGAAUCCAUGAUGUGUCAUCCUAUUAGGUUUCACUUUAAUAUUUACCUGUGGGUGAAUAUAAAAAUGCUCCUACCGUCUUGUUACGAUGCCUACUUCGCAAGGGCUUUAGCGCGGUUGGUGGAUGCCCGGAUGUGGUCUUCUCGCGGGCGACGGGUUACUGUGUACGGGUGGGGGCAAAAGUUUGAAGAUUUUCUUAACCUUGCACGAGAAGAUUUUUUUUAAUAUAAUGCUGUGGGGGCGGUCUUCCCACGGGGGUCAAAGUUUUUUUUACAAUGCCUACUUUUCAUAGGACAAACUUACUAGCAGUUACUUUAUUUGUUUAAUACAAAAUCAUAACCGUAAACAAGUGUUUUUUUAAUUCGAACCGAAUGACGUUAACUUGUCACGAAAUUAUACUAGUAUUUCACUAGCAGCAUAAUUCUUGAUCAAAAGCUUGUUCUAACGGGACCAAACAAGUAUUAUAAAUUUAAACGGAGGGAGCCUAUGAAAUUUAAAGCUCAAGAGGCUACCUAGCCGGCUCGACCAGCAUUGUUAAUUGCCAGCCAUGCUCCCAUCAUCACCUCGGGCACUCUUUGAACGGAAUAUGCGGAGCACCAGGCAGGUAUGAUUAGGCAGGUUAGCGAGUAAAAUGGACAGCCGGUAUAUCUUAGGUUCUCGAACUUAUAAAAUGCAUAUUUAUAUGCUUAAAUUUUUUUAAUUGAGUAAUUUGAGUUAAUCUUCGUGCGUGGCAUCUUGACUUGGCGAUGACAUGUGCCUGACACGUCGGACCCACAUGUCAGUUGCAUCUCCUUCACCCUCUCUCUUGGCCGCACCUCCUGCUCGCUCCUGCCCCUCCGCUCCACCCCCGAGAUUGUGAGAGGUGAAUGGCAGAGGCAGCGCCGGCGAGGGGAGGACCAUGAGCAUGAGGUGCGCCAGCUGGCACCCGUACGAGGGCGGCCCCGACGUCUGCGCGUAGAACGGUCCUCGCUACCUCCGCCCCCA
rnacentral:lncRNA from 1 species